GGCGACUACGGCUUCGACCCCUUCGGCCUCGGGAAGCCCGCGGAGUACCUGCAGUACGACGUGGACUCCCUGGACCAGAACCUGGCCCAGAACCUGGCGGGCGAGAUCAUCGGCACCCGGUUCGAGGACGCCGACGUCAAGUCCACCCCGUUCCAGCCCUACGCCGAGGUGUUCGGCCUCCAGAGGUUCCGCGAGUGCGAGCUCAUCCACGGCCGCUGGGCCAUGCUCGCCACCCUCGGCGCCCUCACCGUCGAGUGGCUCACCGGCGUCACCUGGCAGGACGCCGGCAAGGUACGCAACGUCGUCUCGACCUCAUGCACGUAUAGGACCUGAAUACUGCAAGGCGAGCGUACUGAUCUGUGCAACGAUGCUGGCAGGUGGAGCUGGUGGACGGGUCGUCGUACCUGGGGCAGCCGCUGCCGUUCACGCUCACCACGUUGAUCUGGAUCGAGGUGCUGGUGAUCGGGUACAUCGAGUUCCAGCGCAACGCGGAGCUGGACCCGGAGAGGAGGCUCUACCCCGGUGGCUCCUACUUCGACCCGCUGGGACUCGCGGCGGACCCGGUGAAGAAGGAGACUCUGCAGCUGGCGGAGAUCAAGCACGCCCGCCUCGCCAUGGUCGCCUUCCUCGGCUUCGCCGUGCAGGCCGCCGCCACCGGCAAGGGGCCACUCAACAACUGGGCCACCCACCUCAGCGACCCGCUGCACACCACCAUCUUCGACACCUUCGGCUCCUCUUAAGUGGUCGGUGGUCGAGCAAUUUCUGUCAGCUCAGCUGCAAAAUGGACGAACGCGCGUCAGUGUACGAACGUGCUUUGGUUUUGUAUGACGAGUGAUGGAUGAGAGGGUAUCGCAAAGAUCCUUUGUUGAUUAAUGCAGGUCUGAUCACAUAGGAGAGCUGCUGGGACUUGGUGAUUUGUAAAAUAUGAACCAAUGGUGACUUAAUGCAUCCACUUGUACAUCAAUCUUGAGCUAAUCUUUUGUUUCGUUUUUGCGAUUACAAAAAUAGCAUCCACGCAAGUGCAAUUCGUAAUCACGAUGCAGAAUUGACCGGGACCGCCCCGCCACACUGUCACUGAGCUUGCUGCCUCUUUGAUCUCUACCAAUGAAUCUUCUCUAAAGACAUGUAUUUCUCUUUCCAAUUCACCUUCAUGUCCCCCGGCGUAAUAUUCAACCUUAUCCACUCACAAGAAAACCCUUGUAAAUCUCUUUUGAGAUACAUAUAGUGAUUCUUGGUCAUAUAAAUUUUGAGGAUGAAACCACUCCAUUCAUUACAGAAUUCUUAUGGUGGUUUUAGUUGAAGAAUUAUGGAACGGAGGGGGUACCGAAAUUGGCCUUUGUUGUGAGAGCUGAGAACUUUGUUGUCUUUGGCCUUGUAUAGCUUCAGUAGUUGUAUCACCAGUUUUGAAGCGGGUGCUAGUUAUGAAACCAUAUGGUGACAGUGCUCGUGGGUGCGUGGUCUGCUGGUGUUGGUCUACUCUUUUGUGUGUAACAUCCCAAAAUUCUAAAUUUUGCAAUGUUAUAUUAAUUAAAUAAAUAUGAUUGAUUGACAGAAACUGAGUGAAAUUUGUUUUUUUUUAAGUUGAAUGAUCGCGGCCGUCGGACAACGCUGGAGCCCUCCCCACCGCUGUAAGCCACCGACGCCCUCCUUCACUAUUAAAUCUGCAACGUACGACGAUUAGGUCAUCGUUUUUAUUUUAAAAGCACGAAUCGUUUUCUACUAUAUUUCGGCCGUCCGCCGUUUAGUCGUAGCGGUGCACACCCAUAGCCCAAUCACGUGUUGCCACGUAGCCCACUGUCCGUUAGCUAGCACUUUUAUUUUCUGUUUUGUUUUUAAUUUUCAUAUUUAGUUCUGUUUUUAUAUUUGCAAUAUCUUUUAUGCUUUAAAUCCAAAUUGAGUGAUUCUUUUUGCUAUAGUUUCUUUUAUGAAGUUUCUGUUUGUGCAAUUGGAUUUCAAAUUUGAGUAGUUUAAACUUGAAUUUCAUGAAAUUUGUUCAAAUCAUUAUUUUGGCCAUAUCUUGAGUUUAAAAAUAUUUUUUUGAGUAAUUCUUUCUGCUACUGAUUUAUUAUUGUUUUGUUUAUCCAGUAGCAUUUAGUGAUUUAUUUUUAUCUUAUUUUAAAUUAGGUUUAUUGCAAAAACAUUACUGUUUUAGUAUCUAAUAGGAUUAAUGCUAUUUCCAUUAGUUUUAAUUAUUUUAAAUUAUUUUUCUUUUGUCAUUUUUGACAGGUUUUAAUUAGUUGCCGUUAGUUAACAGUAGGCAUUUUAUUAGUAUUUAAAAAUAAUUUUUAUUAUUUUUAUUUCUUUUCUUUUGAAAGAAAAUUUGUUUUGAUCAUAGGAGAAGUUUUAUCAAUGCUUUUCAGUUGAUUCUUUUUGCAUAGAAAUUUGUAGAAAAUUUCUUUCUGUUAUUUUUAUAAAAACUUUAUUUUAGGUUCUAUUAAAUUAUUAGUUUAGUAUUUUCUUUACUGUUGAGUUAAGUUAGGACAAAAACUAUAUUUAUGAUGUGUAGUUAAGUCAUAGGACUUUUCUUUAGUAGUUUUUCUUUAUAGUUUUCUUUGGAUUUCAUUUGGUUUUUCUUAUUGAUUUAUUUAUUGAACUUUUAUUUGUUGGUUGUUAACUUGAUUGCUAGAAUGAAUGCUUAUAUGAUUGCAAUGUUUGACUAUAUAUAUUUUAUCGGAGUGACGAAUAGUUCUACCAAGUCAUUUUCUAAUAGCUUUAUAAAUCUUCAUCAAGUAAUACCAGACAAGUUCACUUUGACCAUAUUGUUGUAUACCUAUGAUUUUGCUUUUAUUUAGUGCCACCUUUUUCAUUAAUUCCUCCAGUAGUGGUUUUGAAUUCUUGUAGUUGUAGAAUGCAUGAGGUAGGAACCCAUCUCCCUGUUACCAAGCCCGGGACAUUGCUUAGUUUUAUUGCUACGCUAUAGUAGACGGGGUUUGGUAUGAGUGUUCAAGAGUGGUGUGAGAAUGGAGGACUCUACGCCAAUGACGACAACUUCUUGAUGGCAACUUCAAGACAGACAUUCUUCAAGGCCUGCAUUUCAAGACCUCAAGACUUCAAGACUCGAGACUAGAUUUCAAUACACACUACGGGGUGAAGGAUGGAUUUGAUGAGCACCUUGGAGUAACCAGUGGAUAGCCGGGAUGCAUGGAGAAGCGCCAUGACAUCUUGUGGAAAGCUUCACCCAGACUCAAAGAGACAGAAGAAUAUUUCAUGCCCGGAAGCUUACCUGUGCGACCGCAAGUCAUUGUGGGCUCUGGCUUGGUUAACUCUAGUUGUGACUCUGGCUGGGAUGGUGCCAGCAAUGUAGAACUACGGUAGGAUUGGAUGGGCACCGGACAGUGGUCAGAGGAACUCUUCGAAAGACCAUGUUUCGAUCGUCCUGUUCUCAAAAAAUCUGAAGUGCGAGGAUGAAAAGGGAGGGAUCGAAUCUUGCGGGUAAAGUUUACAAACCUAUGCAGAGUGUUAAAACCUAAUCAAUUAGCCAUGUCCCCGGUUACGGACAAUUUGAGCCUUGAUAUGUCCAUUUUACAUCAUGUUUUCUGAUAUGUCUCCAACGUAUCUAUAUUUUUUUAUUGUUCCAAGCUGUUACAUUAUCAUUCUUGUACGUUUUAGAAUCAUUUUAUAGCAACUUUAUAUCAUUUUUGGGACUAACCUAUUGACAUAGUGCCCAGUGCGAGUUGCUAUUUUUUGCUUGCCUUUUACUUCACAGAAAAUCAAUACCAAACAAAGUGAAACUUUUUUGGAGAUUUUUUCUGAACCAGAAGACACCAGAUGAGCAAAAGAAGUACUAGAGGGGUGCCCCGAGGGGGGCACAACCCACCUAGGCGUGCCCUGGUGUGUUGUGCCCACCUCGGUGCCCUCCCGCACCACCUCUUCGCCCUAUAAAUUCCCAAAUAUUCCAAAAACUCUAGGGGAGUCAAUAGAUCGGAAGUUCCGCCACCGCAAGCCUUUGUAUCUGUGAAAACCAAUCUGGACCCUGUUCCGGCACCCUGCCGGAGGGGGAGAUCAUCACCGGAGGCCAUCUUUAUCAUCCCUAUGGUUUCCAUGAUGAUGAGGGAGUAGCCCACCCUCGGGGCUGAGGGUUUGUACCAGUAGCUAUGUGUUUAAUCUCUCUCUCUCUGGUGUUCUUCAUAUGGCACGAUCUUGAUGUAUCGGGGGCUUUGUUAAUAUAGUUGGAUCCUAUGGUAUUUCUCCCUCUCUAUCUUGUUGUGAUGAAUUGAGUUUUCCCUUUGAGGUUUCGUUGUUAUCGGAUUGAAUACUUAUAUGGAUUCAAGAGCACUUGAUGUAUGCCUUGCAUAUGAAUACCCAUGGUGACAAUGGGGUAUUAUGUUGAUUCACUUGAGAUAUGUUUUGGCACUCAACUCGUGGAUUCCUGAGGUGGGGUAAUCUAUGCAUAGGGGUUGAUCCACGUUCUCGUCUUUUGUUUCUCCGGUAGAAAUCUUGGGGCACUCUUUGUGUUGGAUUGAGUAUUAUGAAUUUGAAAUUGUUUUGGUGUUAUUUUAGUAUGAACUCUUGAAAGAUCGAUUGGAAAAAAUAACUUAGUGUUAUUUUAGUAUGAACUCUUGAUAGAUCGAUCAGAAAGAGUAACUUGGUGUUAUUUUAGUAUGAACUCUUGGAUAGAUCCAUCAGAAAGAAUAGCUACAAACAAUUUCUUCGUAUGUUCUCCGCUAGAAAAUAACUUUGGAGUGAUUCUUCAUCGCACUUUGAGGGAUAUUAUAAAAAUAUAUUUCUAUCAUCCACAUUACACUUUUAUCACCAUCUCUUCGCCGAACUAGUGCACCUAUACAAUUUUCCAUUGUAUUGGGUGUGUUGGGGACACAAGAGAUUUCUUAUAUUUGGUUGUAGGGUUGUUUGAGAGAGACCAUCUUCAUCCUAUGGCUUCCUCCGAUUGAUAAACCUUAGGUCAUCCACUUGAGGGAAAAUUGCUACCGUCCUACAAAACUCUGCGCUUGGAUGCCCAACACGAGUCUACAAGAAUAAAGUUGUGUAGUAGACACCAAGCUCUUUUCUGGUGCCGUUGCCGAGGAGGUGAGUGCUUGAAGCUAUAUCUUUGGAUCUUGCAAUCGAAUCUUUUAGUUUCUUGUUUUAUCACUAGUUUGGUUUAUAAAAAGAAAACUACAAAAAAUGGAAUUGAGGUAGUCUCAUAUUGUUCAUCUUUAUAAUGUCUUUCUUGAAAGUGAUGGAUCGAAAAAUUGUGCUCAAUUGAUAGAAGAAGAAUUCAAUAAAAUGUUUGGCAUAAAUGACGAGCAUGAUUGCAAUGUUGUUAGUAUGAAUUCUAUAAAUAUCCAAAAUGCUAACGAUGAUUGCACUAGUCAUGAGAAAAAUGUUUCUUAUAAGGACUUUGUGAAGCCGUGCCUUAUAGGGAAGAUAGAUUUUGUAAGAAGCAUAAAAAUGAUAGAACCAAUUUUUUGCUCAGAGUGAUAGAUAAAUUUGCUACAAAAUUAUGUUCUAUUUGUCCUAUUACUUGUGAUCUUUGCAAUAAAGUUGGCCACCUUAAUUUCCAUUGCAUGUUUUUUCAUGAUCGAAUCGUGUCCCAAUAUUACAAUAACUUGAUCACCCUUGAAAUUUAUAAUGAGCUUUGUCUAUUUUUGGGGAGUGAAGAAUUGGCACAUAAAAAUAGUUGGUUUGAAGUAUUCAUUCCCCACAUACGACAAUGAAACUAAUCUAAAAAAUAUCUAUAUGUUUUGCAUGGUAAAUUGCAAUGAGAAUGCUUAUAUUGCCAACUAUAGAAAGAUGGGAAAACCAAUAGAAUAUGAAAAUACUAAUGAAAGGAUAAAGAUUUCGACUUUCCCUCCUAUUGUCUCUCAUGAUGAAAUAGGUGACGAGGAGGAGCUCCCUAUUCAACCAAUCUCAUCAACAAGAAGCUCACAAAAAUUAAUUAAACCCACACAUGACGUGGUGAAGAAGAAGAAAAGAAGAAACAAUAGAGGUAAAAAGGUACCUCUCCCAAAUAAUGUUGCUACUAUUAUUGUUGUGCCUCAUGAAAAUGAAUCAAAAAUAACAGUGGAAGAUGAUGCACUUGAUGAUGAUAUUGCUUCUUUCUCUCAUGGCACAAUGUCCGAGAGCACUAUUGAUGAUGAUUUUGUUAUGCCUAUUACUUGUUGUGAUAUUUAUGAUUGGGAAGAUAAUGAUACUUCUUAUAAUCUUGGAAAUAUUUUUGGCACCAACUUGGGAAGUUAUGAUGAUAGCAAUUGUUAUACCAUUGGUGCUAUUCAUACUAUUAAUGAUGAGAGUGAUUAUGCUUAUGAUAUGCCAAGCCACAAGCUUGGGGAUGCUAUGUUUGAUGAGAAUGGCACGUUUGAGAAUUUAUUUGCUGAAAUUAAUGUUUGUCCCAAGCUUGGGGAUUCUAUGCUUAAUGAAGAUGAUAUUUUUAGCCCCCCUACUUGGAAUGAUCAAAUUUUCUGUGAUGAUUGCACGCCUCUUACUUAUGAUGAUUGCAAUAUUUAUGAAAGUGGGUUUGGAAGAGUGUCAACUUUAGAUAAUAUUUGUCCCACUAUUUUGGAGGGUGUUGAAUCCUAUUAUGAUGAUAAAAGUGGAUUUGAAGAGGUCAUGACUUUAUUUAGUAAUGAUUCCACUAUUUCAGAAGAGGUUUCAAUUGACUAUGAUGAGAACAAAGUUGCUACUUAUGAUGAUUAUUGUGGUGAUACUUAUGAUAUAAAAAGUAGUGAUAAUUAUUGUCAUAAUUUUGAAUAUCCUUUUACUGAACAAUAAUAUUUUAAUGUGGAAACAAUUUAUAGUAUUCCAAUUUCAUAUGAUACUCCGACUAUUGUGAAUGAGAAUAAAUUUGCUUAUGUGGAGAGUAAGAAAUUUUCUAUGAUUUUGGAUCAUGAACGAAUACUUUAUGUGAUAGCUAUAUUGAUGAAUCCAUUCAUGAUGCUACUGAAAAUUAUUAUGAGAGAGGAACUUAUGAUUCAUGAUGCUAUUAUUAUGUUUCAAAUCUUUACUUUUAUGUGAGCAUCAUUGAAAUCAUCAUGCCUAGCUAAAAGGCAUUAAAGAAAAGCGCUUGUUGGGAGACAACCCAGCAUUUACCUCUACUGUUUUUAUGUGUUCACAUGAUUAGUAUACUAUAGUAAUCAUUUUUAUAGCUUUUGUUUCAAUAAAGUACCAAGUAAAGCCUUUGGGAUAGUGUGGAUGAUAGUUGACUUGAUUCUGUGCAAAAACAGAAACUUUUGUGCUCAGUCCAGGAAUUUUCAAAAUUCACUGGAACGCGAUUUUGAUCUGAAUUUUUUAUAGGUUAUAGAUAUACAAAUUCCCUAUGUUGUCCUAAUUUUUCAUAAUGUUUGGAGUAGCAAAAGUAUGGUAGUUGUCCAGAUCAUUACAGACUUUUCUGUUUUUUGACAGAUUCUGUUUUCAAUCAUAGUUUACUUGUUUUCUAGUUUCUAUGGCUUAUAUUGGUCAAUAUAAAUUGUAGAAAUUAUAAGGUACAAUAGGCAUUGUGUGGGGACAAUAAAGAAUCUUGUCUUUGACAGUACCAAAGUGGAUGAUUUGUCUUUAUCAUACUAACCUAUCUCACAAAGUUCCGUUAAGUUUUGUGUGAUUGGGGGAAAUUGAAGCCAUCCUCAUCACCAACAACCCUCUCAUCGUGGGAGGGACAAUAUUAAUCAACAUAUUAAACAACACCAUCUCAUCUCAAACCCUAGUUCAUCUCUUGUAUUCAAUCUUUGUAUCAAAAUCUCAGAUUGGUACCUGUGGGCCAGAUCCGUUAAGUUUUGUGUGAUUGAAGUUUUGAAGUUCUGGGUGAGAUAUCGAUAUGAGGAGAAUAAGGAGUGACAAGACCCUAGGCUUGGGUAUGCCCAAGGCACCCCCAAGGUACUAUUCAAGGUAGAUCCAAGCAACUAAUCUUGGGGAUGCCCCGGAAGGCAUCCCCUCUUUCGUCACCAACAUUAUCGGUAACCUUACUUGGAGCUAUAUUUUCAUUCGUCACAUGAUAUGUGUUUUUCUUGGAGCAUCAUUUUAUUUUGCUAGGAUUUUCUUGAUGUUAUUUAGAAUAAUGUUUUGCAACUUUUACUUCAAUAAAAAUCUCAAGUAUAUCCUUUGCCAUGCUUAUUUUGCAAGUAUAUAUGUUGCUCUUCAAAACAGAAAGUUUAUCGUUGUUGCAAAAAUUCUCUAGAAAAGUCAGAAUGUGAUAAAAUGUUGAAAUUUUUUGCACACUAAUCUAUGAUAAAUCUUCUACAGACUGGUAAAUUUUUCAGAAUUUUGUUUAGACAGAUUGCUGUUAUGUUUGCAUUGUUUGCAUAUGUUUGCUUGUUUAAUGAUUCUAUUUGAGGAUAGGAGUAUUAAACAUGCAGAGGCAUUUAGUAUGAAAUGUUAAAUAAUAAUUUUAGUAACUUGCCACAGUAGAGAAUGAUAAGGUUUUGCAUUGAUUUAUACUAACUUAUCUCACGAGUUCUUGUUGAGUUUUGUGUGGAUGAAGUUUUUGAGAUUUAGGGAAAUCGUGAUAUGAGAGGAAUUAAGGAGACACAAGAGCUCAAGCUUGAGGAUGCCCAAGGCAUCCCAAAUUAAUAUUUCAACAAGUCUCAAGCAUCUAAGCUUGGGGAUGCUCCGAUAGGCAUCCCACCUUUCUUCUUCAACAAUUAUUGGUUAGUAUCGGUUGAGCCUAAGUUUUUGCUUCUCUACAUGAUGUGUGCUAUCCUUGGAAUGUCAUUCUAUUUGGUUUUUUCUUGCUGUUUUAAUAAAAUACUUAGACCUGAAAGUUUUUAAAUAAGAGAGAGUCCUCAAUUAGCUACCCCUUUACUUAACUACUCGCUUGAACUUCACUUAUAUCUUCUUGGAGUAGUUUGUCAUUUACUCUAGUGCUUCACUUAUAUCUUUUUGAGCACGACGUGCUUUAAAUUUUUUGAAGAAAAACUCUCAUGCUUCACUUAGAUUUAUUUGAGAGUUAGUAUAUUUUUGAAGAAAUUCUCUCAUGCUUCACUUACAUAUUUUGAGACAAGAAAAUUUCUAUGCUCAUGUUCUUCACUUAAAUUUGUUUUGAGCUUAUCAAAAGCAACAUAUGAAAUUAGUCCCAAAGUGACAGAUGGGUUUGGGCGCCUCCCCCUAGGUGCCUUGGCCCCCAAGGCAAGUGGAGGAAACCCUAGGGAGGUGCCCCACCUCUUCAAGCAAUGUUGGAAAAGGGUCUUGGGAUGCACAACCCCUUAGUGGGCUGGUGUGCUACCUCCCCUUUGGCCCAUGAGGCCCCCAACACUUGCCGUGGCCUCCCAAAACCUCUUUCGGUCAUGUUGGUCAUCACCCGGUACCCCAGGAACACUUCCGGACUCCAAUACCCUUCGUCCAAUAUAUCAAUCUUCACCAACGGACCAUUCCAGAGUUCCUCGUCACAUCCGGGAUCGCAUCCGGGACUCCAAACAACCUUGGGUUACCACCAUAAUGACUCAACUAUACUUAUAUCGUCACGAAACAUUAAGUGUGUAGACCCCGCGGGAUCGAGAAUUAUGCAGACAUGACCGAGACACCUCUACGAUCAAUAACCAAUAGCGGGACCUGGGUGCCCAUAUUGGUUCCUACAUAUUCUACGAAGAUCUUUAUCGGUCGAACCUCGAUGUCAAGGAUUCAACUAAUCCCAUAUGUAGUUCCCUUUGUCUAUCGGUAUGUUACUUGCCCGAGAUUCGAUCAUCGAUAUCUCCAUACCUAGUUCAAUCGUGUUACCGGCAAGUCUCUUUACUCGUUCCAUACUACAAGAUUCCAUGACUAACUCCUUAGUCACAUUGCUUGCAAGCUUUUUUGAUGUUCCAUUACUGAGAGGGCCUAGAGAUACCUCUCGGUCGUAUGGAGUGACAAAUCCCAGUCUUGAUCCAUGCCAACUCAAUAGACACCCUCGCAAAUACCUGUAGAGCAGCUUUAUAGUCACCCAGUUAUGUUGCGAUGUUUGGUACACACAAGGUAUUCCUCCGGUGUCAAGUGAGUUGCAGGAUCCUCAUGGUCAUAGGAACAUAUAUACUUGACAUGCAAAAAAUGUACAAUAAACCUGAUAUGAUCAUAUGCUAUGUUUACAGUUUGGGUCUUGUCCAUCACAUCAUUCUCAUAAUGGUGUGGCCCCAUUAUCAAAUGACAACUCAUGUCCAUGGCUAGGAAACCAUAGCCAUUUUUGAUCAAUGGGCUAGUCUAGUAGAGGCUCACUAGGGACAUGUUGUUGUCCAUGUAUUGAUGACCCACAAGUAUAUGGGGUCAAUUGUAGCCUUUUCGAUAAGUAAGAGUUUCAAACCCAACGAGGAGCAGAAGGAAAUGGUGGUUUUCAGCAAGGUAAUGUCUGCAAGUGCUAAAAUUGUAAGUGUCGGCGUUCUGGGAACGGGGGUACCUAGACUUGCCUGCCUGCGGCCUGCGGCGUGGCUCAAGUGGGGGCCCAGUGCAGCCCAGCUUCAUCAGCUCAAGCUCAAGACCCUCGCGAGGGGCCAAGCCUCGCGGGGCGGACGAUAGGAAGCUUCCUUAGGAGCAGCCUCGUCAGGCAGGCUCGCAAGGAGGCGGAGAGAUCAAGGCAAGGGCACCUCCCGAGGAGCUCGUGACGCAAGCCAUGACGAUCGAGACCAGGCGGGCGUCGGCCUGCGCAGUGUCCUUGUUUCCCCUUCGGUGCAAAGGGGGCAAGCACAGGCCAAGGCAUCAGGCAAAGGUUACUGUUUCGGUGCAACAAGACCAAGACCAGCAGAACGACAGGAUGGAGGUCAUCGUGGAGCCCAGGACGGCGUCAUCGUCAGAGCCUUUGGUAGCCAUAGACCAACUUUAGUCAGGAUAAGUGUACUAGAUGUUCCCCUUCAAAAUGGCCUAUUGUUGGCGCCCUUCUCGCUCAUUAUUUGGGAGAGGCCCAGGGCCUCCCUCUAUAAAUAGGACUAGCCACCACAGAGUAGGGGCAGCUGGGAGACAGAUCGAUCAGAGAGAGAGAGAAGCGACUGAACUCACCCAAGCAGUUCAUCGCACCAGCUCAAGAACAGCCCCUCGCGAGGCUGUUCUCCCUUUGUAUUGUUCAUCAUCAGCCCCUGAGGCAAUCCACCACACCACACACUGAAGUAGGAUAUUACACCACAAUGGUGGCCUGAACCAGUAUAAAUCUCGUGUCCCUUGUGUGUUCUUCUUUCUAGCCUAGAUUCCUUGCAAGGCUUCGAAACGUGAGCUGGUAGGGGGAAAAUCUUUGUGUGCACCCCAGAGUUCGAACCUCAAGGGUCUGCCGGAACCCGAAAUCCGACAUUUGGCGCGCUAGGUAGGGGUGCGCCGGAAUCUUUCUUCCGAUGGUCGCGUGUGAUCUUCCGUCGUGCCCAUGUCUGACGCUCGCCGAGCCUGUGCCAAGCGUCGGGCUACUCUUGCCACUCGAGUCGCCCAGACGGCUCCUGUCGGCGGACGCCCCCGUCGCCUGCAACUAACGCCGCCACCGGCCUGGCGGGGAACGAGCAGCAGGCCUCUUCCCUGCAUCCUUCGGUGCAGCGGGAAGGCCGCACCGCCACCCCGUCGCUGACUCCAGCCGGUCCGUCGUCCCACGCCCGUCGCGCCCCCACGGACGCGCACGUUGUGCUGCUCCUGAUGCGUGAGCUCCUGCACUACCGUCCCGUCGACGACCUCUACGAGGACUGGCUCGCCUGCAUCACCGAGCUCGUCAGCGCCGCAGGGGGCUCCCCUGUGCCGUCCCUCUCGCUGCCUCGCCCUCCGUCCUGCGCAGGAGGCAAGGAGCAGGAGGUGCCUCCGCCACCUCCUCCCCAAGAAGGUGCCCUGGCUCCAAGGCGCGCGGCCCUAGGACGAGACCCACCAUAUCCGGCGCCUGCACGACAAGAAAGGAGCUGCCAGGAAAUUCCUCGUCCCCAAGAAGGUGCCCGCGUGCUCCCAGCACCGGUGCGCCAUGACCACAUCCCUGCGCCACCACGUCAAGACCCCGCGCUGCUCCAGGCAGCAGUGUGCGGGAAUCCCCACGAGCAAGCCCCGCAUCAGCAGAGAGCUCCGGUGGCGACUGCAGGCUGCCGCGCCUUCACCGCCGAGCUGCGUAGCGUCGCAUGGCCCGACAAGUUCAAGCCGGACCUGCCUCCUCGCUACGACGGUACUGCCGACCCCGUGGAGUUCCUCCAGUUCUACGAGCUGGGCAUCGAAGCCGCCAACGGGGACGAAAAGGUCAUGGCGAAUUGGUUCCCCAUGGCGCUCAAGGACGGUGCCCGCACCUGGCUCCUGAAGCUGGCUCCUGGCACGAUCUCCUCCUGGGACGAGAUGCGCACUCGCUUCAUCGCCAACUUCCAAGGCACUCGCGACCAGCCCCCGGCCAUGAAUGACCUGUGCUGCAUUAAGCAACAGCCAGGAGAGACCCUGCAGAAGUACAUCCAGCGCUUCAACAACACCCAUGCUAUGUCUUGAGCUUGCGUUGGUUUUCCUCAAAGAGGAGAGGGUGAUGCAGCAAGUAUAGCGUAAGUAUUUCCCUCAGUUUUGAGAACCAAGGUAUCAAUCCAGUAGGAGGCUCCUCAAAAGUCCCACGCACCUACACAAACAAACUGAGAACUCGCAACCAACGCAAUAAAGGGGUUGUCAAUCCCUUCACGGCCACUUGCGAAAGUGAGAUCUAAUAAAGAUAGUAUGAUAAGAUAAAUAUAUUUUUGGUAUUUUAUAAUAUAGAUGCAAAAAGUAAAGAUGCAAAUAAAGGUAAACUGAAAGCAAAUAUGAUAAGAGAUAGACCCGGAGGCCAUAGGUUUCACUAGAGGCUUCUCUCAAGAUAGCAUAAGUAUUACGGGGGGUGAACAAAUUACUAUCGAGCAAUUGAUAGAAAAGCGCAUAGUUAUGAGAUUAUCUAGGCAUGAUCAUGUAUAUAGGCAUCACGUCCAUAACAAGUAGACCGACUCCUGCCUGCAUCUACUACUAUUACUCCACACAUCAACUGACUCCUGCCUGCAUCUAGAGUAUUAAGUUCAUAAGAACAGAGUAACGCAUUAAGCAAGAUGACAUGAUGUAGAGGGAUAAACUCAUGCAAUAUGAUGUAAAACCCAUCUUGUUAUCCUCGAUGGCAACAAUACAAUACGCGCCUUGCAACCCUUUUUGUCACUAGGUAAGGACACCGCAAGAUUGAACCCAAAGCUAAGCACUUCUCCCAUGGCAAGAAAGACCAAUCUAGUAGGCCAAACCAAACUGAUAAUUCGAAGAGACUUGCAAAGAUAACUCAAUCAUACAUAAAAGAAUUCAGAGAAGAUUCAAAUAUUAAUCAUAGAUAAACUUGAUCAUAAACCCACAAUUCAUCGGAUCUCGACAAACACACCGCAAAAAGAGUUUACAUCGAAUAGAUCUCCACAAGAGAGGGGGAGAACAUUGUAUUGAGAUCCAAAAAGAGAGAAGAAGCCAUCUAGCUAAUAACUAUGGACCCGUAGGUCUGUGGUAACCUACUCACAACUCAUCGGAGGGGCAAGGAUGUUGAUGUAGAAGCCCUCCAUGGUCGAUUCCCCCUCCGGCAGAGUGCCGGCGAAGGCUCCAAGAUGAGAUCUCGCGGAUACAGAAGGUUACGGUGGUGGAAGUUGUGUUUCGUGGUGCUCCUGGAUGUUUUCGGGGUACGUAGGUACAUAUAGGAGGAAGAAGUACGUCGAUGGCCGCCCGAGGGGCCCACGAGAUAGGGGGCGCACCCUAUAGGGGGGGGGGGCGGCCCCCUAUCUCAUGGGGCCCUCAAAAGCUUCUUGACUUGCACUCCAAGCUCUCCGGAUCACGUUCGUUCCAAAAAUCACGCUCCUGAAGGUUUCAUUCCGUUUGGACUCCGUUUGAUAUUCCUUUUCUUCGAAAUACUGAAAUAGGCAAAAAAACAGCAAUAUGGGCUGGGCCUCCGGUUAGUAGGUUAGUCCCAAAAAUGAUAUAAAUGUGUAAAAUAAAGCCCAUAAACAGCCAAAAGGGGUAAUAUAAUAGCAUGGAACAAUAAAAAAUUAUAGAUACGUUGGAGACAUAUCAAGCAUCCCCAAGCUUAAUUCCUGCUCGUCCUCGAGUAGGUAAAUGAUAAAAAAGAGAAUUUUUGAUGUGGAAUGCUACCUAGCAUAAUUCAUAAUGUAAUUUUCUUUAUUGUGGCAUGAAUGUUCAGAUCCAAAUGAUUCAAAAUAAAAGUUCAUAUUGAUAAAAGAAAUAGUAACACUUCAAGCAUACUAAUCAAAGUGAUCAUGUCUUCUCAAAAUAGCAUGGCAAAAGAAAGUUCAUCCCUACAAAAUCAUAUAGUUAGGCUAUGCUUCAUUUUUGUCACACAAAGAUGUUCCCAACUUCUAUACCCCCGAUGACAAGCCAAGCAAUUGUUUCAUACUUAAAUAAUCUCAAACUUUUUCAACCUUCACGCAAUACAUUAGCGUGAGCCAUGGAUAUAUCACUAUGGGUGGAAUAGCGUAUGAUGAUGGGGAUUGUGUGGAGAAGACAAAAAAGAGAAAGUCUCACAUUGACGAGGAUAAUCAAUUGGCUAUGGAGAUGCCCAUCAAUUGAUGUCAACAUGAGGAGUAGGGAUUGCCAUGCAACGGAUGCACUAGAGCUAAAAAUGAAUGCUCAACAAAAGAAAACUAGUGGGUGUGCAUCCAACUUGCUUGCUCACGAAGACCUAGGGCAUUUGAGGAAGCCCAUCAUAGGAAUAUACAAGCCAAGUUCUAUAAUGAAAAAUCCCCACUAGUAUGAAAAAGACAACUUAUGAGACUCACUAUAUGAAAAACAAGGUGCUACUUUGAAGCACAAUAUAUGAGACUCACUACAUGAAGAACAAGGUGCUACUUUGAAGCACAAGUGUGGAAAAAGAGAUAGUAACAUUGCCCUUUUUAUUUAUUUAUUUGUUUUUCUUUUUUUUCUUUUUUUUGGGCAUUUCUUUUUUUUCUUUUGGCCUUUCUUUUUUUUUUCUUUGGGCAAUGUUCUAAUAAUGAUGAUCAUCACACUUCUAUUGAUUACAACAUAAGAAUUACAACUCGAAACUAGAACAACAUAUGACUCUAUAUGAAUGCCUCUGGCGGUGUACCGAGAUGGUGCAAUGAAUCAAGAGUGACAUGUAUGAAAAAUAAUGCUUGGUGGCUUUGCCACAAAUACGAUGUCAACUAUAUGAUCAUGCAAUGGCAAUAUGACAAAAGUAAUGUAUGUCAUGAUGAUGAUGAGCGGCAUGGUGGAAAGUUGCAUGGCAAUAUAUCUCGGAAUGGCUAUGGAAAUGCCAUAAUAGGUAGGUAUGGUGGCUGUUUUGAGGAAGAUAUAAUGAGGUUUAUGUGUGAUAGAGCAUAUCGUAUCCCAGGGUUUGGAUGCACCGGUGAAGUUUGCACCAACUCUCAAGGUGAGAAAGGGCAAUGCACGGUACCGAAGAGGCUAGCAAAGGUGGAAAGGUAAAAGUGCGUAUAAUCCAUGGACUCAACAUUAGUCAAAAGAAAUCAUAUACUUAUUGCAAAAAUUUAGAAGUCAUCAAAAACCAAGUACUAUGCACAUGCUCCUAGGGGGAUAGAUUGGUAGGAAAAGACCAUCGCUCGUCCCCGACCGCCACUCAUAAGGAUGCAUAAGCCAAGUACACUUCAUGUUUCAAAUUUGUUACACAACUUUAACCAUACGUGCAUGCUACGGGACUUGCUAACUUCAACACAAGCAUUCUUUAAAUUCAUAAUCACCCAACUAGCAUGACUUCAAUAUCACUACCUCCAUAUCUCAAAACAAUUAUCAAGUAUCAAAUUGAUCAUAGCAUCCAAUUCACUUCCUAUGAUAGUUUUUAUUAUACCCAACUUGGAUGCCUACCAUUCUAGGACCAACUUUAUGAUAAUAGCAAAUACCAUGCUGUUCUAAAAGACUCUCAAAAUAAUAUAAGUGAAGCAUGAGAGACUAGCAAUUUCUUCAAAAUUAAGACACCACCGUGCUCUAAAAGAUAUAAGUGAAGCACUAAAGCAAAAACUACCAAGCUCAAAAGAUAUAAGUGAAGCACAUAGAGUAUUCUAGCAAAUUCUAAUCAAAUAGGCUUCUCCCAAAAGGUGUGUACAGCAAGGAUGAUUGUGGUAAACUAAAAAGAAAAGACUAAUAUAAUACACGACGCUCCAAUCAAAACACAUAUCAUGUAGCGAAUAAAAAUAUAGCCCCAAGUAAAGUUACCAAUGAACGAAGACGAAAGAGGGGAUGCCUUCCCGGGUCAUCCCCAAGCUUAGGCUUUUGGCUAUCCUUGAAUAUCUUGGGGUGCCAUGGGCAUCCCCAAGCUUAGUCUCUUGCCACUCCUUAUUCCAUAGUCCAUACAAGCUUUACCCAAAACUUGAAAACUUCACAACACAAAACUCAACAGGAAAUCUUAUAAGCUCCGUUAGUGAAAGAAAACAAAACCACCACAUAAGGUACUGCCAUGAAAUAAUUCUUUAUUUAAUUUGGUGUUAAACCUACUGUAUUCUGACUUCUUUAUGGUUCAUAUACUGAAUUACUAGCCAUAGAUGCAUUGAAAUAAGCAAACAACACACGAAAAACAGAAUCUGUCAAAAACAGAACAGUCUGUAGGAAUCUGUAACUAACGCAAACUUCUGGAACUCUAAAAGUCGUACCAAAAUAGGAAGUCCUUGACAAUUUAUUUAUUGAACAGAGGCAAAAAGAAUCAACGCAAAAUCACGUUCCUGUGAUUUAACAAAAUUAUAUUCGUGCGCGUAAAGUUUCUGUUUUUCAGCAGAAUCAAAUCAACUAUCAUCGUAGGUUAUCCUAUAGGUUCUACUUGGCACAAACACUAAUUAAAAGAUAAAAACACAUCUAAAUAGAAGGUACAUGCAAGAUUUAUUAGUAAACAGGAGGAAAAACAAAAAAUAUAAAGAAAAUUGGGUUGCCUCCCAACUAGCGCUAUCGUUUAACGCCCCUAGCUAGGCAUAAAAAGCAAAGAUAGAUCUAACGAGUGCCAUCUUUGGCACUAAAUUCAUAAGUAGCACGCAUGAUAGAUUCAUAAGGUAAUUUGACUUUCUUUUGUUGGAAAGUGCUCCAUGCCUUUCUUUAAUGAAAAUUGGAAUCUAAUGUUCCCUUCCUUCAUAUCAAUAAUCGCACCAAUCGUUCUAAGGAAAGGUCUACCAAGAAUAAUAGGGCAAGAAAGAUUGCAAUCUAUAUCAAGAACGAUAAAAUCUACGGGCACCAAAUUUCUAUUUGCAACAAUAAGAACAUCAUUGAUCCUUCCCAUAGGCUUUUUAAUGGUGGAAUCCGCAAGGUGCAAAUUUAAAGAGCAAUCAUCAAGAUCAUGGAAACCUAGAAUAUCACAUAAACUUUUCGGAAUCGUGGAAACACUAGCACCCAAAUCACACAAAGCAAACACUCAUAAUCUUUAAUUCUAAUCUUUAUAGUAGGUUCCCACUCAUCAUUAAGUUUUCUAGGUAUAGAAACUUCCAAAUUAAGUUUUUCAUCAUAAGAUUGCAUCAAGGCAUCAACAAUAUGUUUGGUAAAAGCUUUAUUUUGGCUAUAAGCAUGAGGAGAAUUAACAACGGAUUGCAACAAGGAAAUACACCCUUCUAAAUAACAAUUAUCAUAAUCAAAUUCCUUGAAAUCCGAGAUAGAAGGUUCAAUAUUAUUAGAAGUUGAGGAUUCUCCAAUCUCACUUUUACCAAAUUUAGCAUUAAGAUCUAAAGACUCCGAAUUCUUGGGACGCCUUCUAGGAAAAGUUGAUUCAUCAUCAGUACCAUAAUCAUCAAAAUUCACAUUUUAAAACAUAGAUCUAAUCGGAGACGCAUCAAUAACUUUAAGAUCCUCAUCAUUAUUUUCAUGGAGACUAGAAGAACACGCUUUUAUAAAGCUUUUUUUAGCACGCAAUCUAGCGGUUCUUUCCUUGCACUCGUCAAUGGAAAUUCUCAUUACUUUGAGAGACUCAUUUAUAUCAUGCUUAGGAGAAGAAGAUCCAAGUUUAAGAGAAUUAACAUCAAGCAAAAGUCUAUCAACGUUCCUAGCGAAAUCAUCAACUUUGAGCAAUUUUUCUUCAAGCUAAGCAAUAAAAUUCUUUUGAGAAAUCAUAAAUUCUUUCACACUAUUCUUAAAAUCAGAGGGCACCUUAUUAAAAUUACCAUAAGAUUUAUUGUAGGAAUUUCCAUAAUUAUUAGAGGGAUUACUAGGGAACGGUCUAGCAUUAAAAUUUCCCAUAUAAGCAUUGUUUCCAAAACUAUUCCUACCUAUCACAUCCAUAGAUUCAUUAUUAUUCUCAAUGAAAGAAGACAAAGGCAUAUCAUUGGGAUCAAGAGGAGUAUUUUUAGUAGCAAACAUCUUCAUAAGUUCAUCCAUCUUUCCACUCAAAACAUUGAUUUCUUCUAUAGCAUGCACUUUUUUACUAGAAGAUCUUUCGGUGUGCCAUUGAGAAUAAUUAGCCAUAAUAUUAUCAAGUAAUUUUGUAGCAUCUCCUAACGUAAUUUCCAUAAACGUGCCUCCCGCGGCUGAAUCUAAGAGAUUUCUAGAAGCAAAGUUCAAACCAGCAUAAAUUUUUUUGUAUGAUCAUCCAUAAAUUCAAACCAUGAGUAGGGCAAUUGCGAAGCAUCAAUUUCAUUCUUUCCCAAGAUUGGGCAACAUGCUCAUGAUCAAGUUGUUUAAAAUUCAUAAUAUCGUUCCUAAGAGUGAUGAUCUUAGCGGGAGGAAAAUACUUAGAGAUAAAAGCAUCUUUGCACUUGUUCCAAGAAUCAAUACUAUUUUUAGGCAAAGACGAAAACCAAACUUUAGCAUGAUCUCUAAGUGAAAACGGAAAUAACUUCAAUUUGACAAUAUUGUUAUCCGUAUCUUUCUUCUUUUGCAUAUCACACAAAUCAACAAAAUUGUUUAGAUGAGUAGUGGCAUCUUCACUAGGAAGGCCGGCGAAUUGAUCUUUCAUAACAAGAUUCAACAAAGCGGUAUUGAUUUCACAAGACUCAACAUCAUUAAGAGGAGUAAUCGGAGUACUAAGGAAAUCAUUAUUAUUGGUAUUCGAGAAAUCACACAAUUUGGUAUUAUCUUGCGCCAUGGCAACAAGUAAUCCAACACACAAGCAAACAGAAAAAUGGCAAGCAAAAACGAGAGGAGGAGGCUGGGAAAGAGAGGGCGAAUAAAACGGCAAGGGUGAAGUGGGGGAGAGGAAAAUGAGAGGCAAAUGGCAAAUAAUGUAAAUGCGAGGGAGAUGGGUUUGUGAUGGGUACUUGGUAUGUCUUGACUUGAGCAAAGACCUCCCCGGCAACGGCACUAGAAAUCCUUCUUGCUACGUCUUGAGCUUGCGUUGGUUUUCCUCGAAGAGGAGAGGGUGAUGCAGCAAGUGUAGCGUAAGUAUUUCCCUCAGUUUUGAAAACCAAGGUAUCAAUCCAGUAGGAGGCUCCUCAAAAGUCCCACGCACCUACACAAACAAACUGAGAACUCGCAACCAACGCAAUAAAGGGUUGUCAAUCCCUUCACGGCCACUUGCGAAAGUGAGAUCUAAUAAAGAUAGCAUGAUAAGAUAAAUAUAUUUUUGGUAUUUUAUAAUAUAGAUGCAAAAAGUAAAGAUGCAAAUAAAGGUAAAUUGAAAGCAAAUAUGAUAAGAGAUAGACCCGGGGGCCAUAGGUUUCACUAGAGGCUUCUCUCAAGAUAGCAUAAGUAUUACGGGGGGUGAACAAAUUACUGUCGAGCAAUUGAUAGAAAAGCGCAUAGUUAUGAGAUUAUCUAGGCAUGAUCAUGUAUAUAGGCAUCACGUCCAUAACAAGUAGACCGACUCCUGCCCGCAUCUACUACUAUUACUCCACACAUCGACCGACUCCUGCCUGCAUCUAGAGUAUUAAGUUCAUAAGAACAGAGUAAUGCAUUAAGCAAGAUGACAUGAUGUAGAGGGAUAAACUCAUGCAAUAUGAUGUAAACCCCAUCUUGUUAUCCUCGAUGGCAACAAUACAAUACGUGCCUUGCAACCCUUUUUGUCACUAGGUAAGGACACCACAAGAUUGAACCCAAAGCUAAGCACUUCUCCCAUGGAAAGUGAGGGAGUCCUGGAUUAGGGGGUAUCCGGACAGCCGGACUGUGUACAACGUCCGGACUAUUGAAGCGUGAAGAUAGAAGACUCAAGACUUUGGUCCGUGUCCGGAUGGGACUCUCUUUGGCGUGGAAGGCAAGCUUGGCGAUCCGGAUAUUAUAUUUCCUUCCUUGUAACCGACUCCAUGUAAACCCUAGCCCUCUCCGGUGUCUAUAUAAACCGGAGAGGUUGGUCCUUAGAAGGCCUACCACAAUUACAAUCAUACCAUCAUAGGCUAGCUCUUAAGGUUUAGCCUCUACGAUCUCGUGGUAGAUCUACUCUUGUACUACCCAUAUCAUCAAUAUUAAUCAAGCAGGAAGUAGGGUUUUACCUCCAUCGAGAGGGCCCGAACCUGGGUAAACAUCUAUGUCCCUUGCUUCCUGUUACCAUCAGCCUUGACGCACAGAUUGGGACCCCCUACCCAAGAUCCGCCGGUUUUGACACUGACAUUGGUGCUUUCAUUGAGAGUUCCUCAGUGACGUUGUCGCAAGGCUUGAUGGAUCGUCUCAUUGUCAAGGACGACAUUACCUCAGAGGGGGCUCUGGCUGUAGGCCAGACUCUCCGGCUCGGCGGCUUUAUCAUGGCCGCCCCAUCGGCGGUGGCGCCGACGAUGGCUUCUCGGGUCAUCAAUCAUAACCUUCGCGUUAGUUCGGAACUUGCCGAAUAGAUGGAUCCAAUGGAACUCUCCUCCCUUAACGAACUCUUGGAUCGCAUCGUCACUCUGGGAGUCGCUACAGACUAUGACCGGGUUGGGCUUAAAGCCGACCGAAGGGACAUCAGGUCCCCGCCGGCCACCCAUGAGAUAGCGAUAGUGGAGGAACCACACGCGGAUUGCCCCUCAACUUUGAGGACAAAUUAUGUUUGGAUCACCGAACUCCUUGAGUCGAAGACCUGCUCAAAGGAAAGCUUGACCCAGGUCCCGGACAUAGAAUCGGGCAUUGGGCCGAAGAAAUUGGGCAACACUCCGGACUCUGGGCUGUUAAGCUCGGAACCGCCCGCACCCUUGGGCGUUAGAUCGGAUCAAAAUCCGGAUUCUACUAACAGCACCUACCUGGACUUAAACUGUCUCUCCCGCAUCAGGCAAUGGCCCCAGGAAACCAUACAUCGCUACUGGGCCAGAUUCCUCCUUGCGCUUAACAAGGUCAGGGACUGCCGCGAGGAGAACAUGGUCUCACUCUUCUGCAAAAACUGCACGGACGAAGGACUCCUCAAUGCUAUAAGCCGCCGUGACAUAGUGCACUUCGCGGACUUGGCAAUCAUAGUACGGAAGUACUGUGCGAUGGAGAGCGCUUGGAAGACCCAAACAAAAUUUUGGGAUAGUACUGCUCUCACCAAGACCUUUGUCCGAACUAAACGGACAAACUCUCGUAAGUCGUCCGAUCCAAUCCCCAAGAAACCAAAGCCCGCCCCAGGGCAGGGAUCCGUAUUGGAAGAAUGGCUCGACGUGCCAUGUAAGAUCCACAGUACUCCAGAUACAACGCCAACUCAUAGCCUUAGGGCAUGUUGGAUACUCCGACAGGUGGAAAAAAGUGGCGAGGAUCUUCUUGUGGGCCAUAAAGCGGAACAACAUCCUGCCAGCGAACACAAUACGGUACUAACAGUCUUCGAGACUUUUGCCACGAACAAUAGGCACAAGCGAGCAUGCUGAAGCUCUGCUGAAAUUUACCAUGUGGCAAAAAUAAACCCCUGGAACGACACUGCUAUAACUUUUAAUGCCAGUGAUGAACCUCGAUUCUAGACUUUCCGGGCACCAGCCGCUCUGGUCCUUAGCCCGAUCGUAGAUGGCUUUCGACUCACUAAAGUACUCAUGGACGGUGGAAGCGGAUUAAAUCUGAUUUAUGAAGAAACACUCAGCAAGAUGGAGAUUGAUAAAAGCCGCAUUGAACAAAGAGGCACGACCUUCAGGGGAAUUAUCCCUACUCGGGAAGCGCGGUGUGCGGGAAAAAUCACACUCGAUGUGGUAUUCGGCACCCCGGAGAAUUAUAGGUCCGAAGAAAUCACAUUCCAGGUGGCCCCUUUUAGCAGCGGAUACCACGCCCUUCUAGGGUGGGACGUGUUUACAAGCUUUCAAGCUGUACCCCAUUAUGGGUACAUGAAGCUUAAAAUGCCCGGACCCAAUGGAAUCAUCACUCUAGCGAGUGAUCCGGAUGUUGCACUUCGCGCCGAAAAUAAAAGCGCAUCACUAGCCUUGGAAGCAUUAUCUGAAGCCCUGGCAACCGAAGAGUUAACAACACUGCGGGCCACCGUGGACAGGGACGACGUGAUACUAGACAAGCGACCCAAGUCCACCUCAUUUAAGCCUGUAGACGAGAUAGUCAAAUUCCAGGUCCAUCCAACGGACCCCACGAAGACAGCUUCCAUCGGGACACAGCUGAGCCCCAUGAUGGACGACGCACUGUGAGAUUUCUUAUGCGAGAAUUGGGACAUUUUCUCUUGGCACCCAUCGGACAUGCCAGGAAUCCCAUGCAGAUUGGCCGAACACAACCUCAAUAUUCUAAAAGGAUACAAACCGGUCAAGCAGACCUUAAGGCGAUUCUCAGAGCCCAAACGACAGGCAAUGAGGGAAGAGUUAGCCAAGCUACUCGAGGCCGGAUUCAUCAAAGAUAUUAAACAUCCGGACUGGCUGGCAAAUUUGGUGAUGGUACCAAAGAAGGACAAAUCCUGGCGCCUAUGCGUUGACUUCAAAGACCUCAACAAGGCUUGCCCCAAGGAUCCCUUUCCCCUCCCUCGUAUCGAUCAAAUCAUCGAUGCCACAGCUGGACACGACUCGCUGUGUUUUCUCGACGCAUACUCUGGAUACCAUCAAAUAAAGAUGGCAGAGUCUGACCAAGCUGCAACAGCUUUUAUAACGCCAUAUGGCCCUUUUUGCUUCAACACUAUGCCCUUCGGGCUCAAGAAUGCCGGCGCAACCUAUCAACGCAUGAUUCAAACAUGCCUGGACAAACAAAUCGGCAAAAUAGUAGAAGCAUAUGUGGACGACGUGGUCAUAAAAACUAGACACGUCGAAACACAGAUAGAUGACUUGAGGCUCACAUUCGAUAACCUCCGGACAUACGACAUUAAGUUGAAUCCAGAAAAAUGCGUCUUCGGCGUCCCAUCGGGGAAACUGCUAGGCUUCAUUGUUUCCAAUAGAGGAAUUGAAGCGAAUCCGGCAAAAAUCCGAGCUCUGUCUCAGUUGGCUAUACCAACAGACCCCAAGCACAUCUAUAAGCUAGCCGGAUGCGUGGCCGCUUUGAGCCGCUUUAUCUCUAGGCUAGGAGAAAAGGCAUUGCCUCUUUACCACCUCCUUCGGCGCACCGAACACUUCGUAUGGACGGAUGCAGCUGCGGCCGGACUCGAUGAAAUAAAGACCUUGCUAGGCAGUAAUCCAGUCCUAACAACGCUGAACAUCGGCGAGCCUAUGCUAUUGUACAUAGCGGCAACACAUCAAGUUGUAAGCGCAGUACUCGUCAUCGAACGAGAGGUUGAUGGAUACAAAUUCCCGCUCCAAAAUCCUGUUUAUUACGUAUCCACAGUCCUCACCCCAUGCAAAUCUCAAUACCCACACUAUCAAAAAAUAGCAUACGCGGUCUUCAUGGCAUCCCGGAAGCUGCGACACUACUUUCAAGAGUGUUCGAUCACAGUAGCCUCCAAAGUACCACUCAAUGACAUAAUAAACAACCGCGACGCUAUGGGCCGGAUUGCUAAAUGGGCCAUCGAGCUCCUUCUGUUCGACAUAAUGUACAAACCACGACGGGCCAUCAAGUCGCAAGUACUGGCCGACUUUGUUGCCGAAUGGACAGAAGCCGAACUCCCUAAAGAGUACAGCGCAUACUCCAACUGGAUCAUGCACUUCGACAGCUCUAAAAUGCUCGCCGGAUUGGGAGCAAGUGUAGUCUUGACGUCUCCCACCGGAGACACGGUCCAGUACGUCCUCCAAAUACUUUACACAGACUCCAACAAUGCAGCCGAAUAUGAGGCUUUGUUGCAUGGUCUUCGGAUGGCGGUCUCCAUGGGCAUCCAACGCCUGCUCCCAUGGUCUUCGGAUUCGAACCUUGCAAUAUCACAAAUAAACGGAGACUUCGAUGCCAAGGAUCCAAAAAUGGCGGCCUACCGUAAUGCCGUCCUCAAAAUGUCAGCUCGGUUCGAGGGGCUCGAAUUCCACCACGUGGCUCGAGAAAAAUCAAGCGGCGGACGUCCUUGCCUGCAUCGGCGCCAAACGCGACCCUGUCCCACCUAACAUAUUCAUGGAAAGGUUGUUCAAGCCAUUCGUAGUGUGGGAAGGGGAGUCCGGCAAUACCAGCACAGAUCCAAACACACCCCCAGAUUCCGAACCAUCAGAGACAAUCGGAGGCUCUGCCACCAAAAUAACAUCUUCGGCCCACGAAAUCAUGGCCGUAAUUGCCCCGUGGACCGAGCCUUUCUUGGCCUACCUAAAUAGGCAGGAGCUCCCCGAAGACCAAAACGAAGCACGCUGCAUAGUCCGGCGCUCUAAAGCUUACAAGGUCCACGAAGGGGAACUCUAUAAGAAAAGCACGACCGGAGUGCUCCAAAGGUGCAUCUCCGAAGAGGAAGGGCGAAAACUCUUGGCUGAAAUCCAUGCCGGACUAGGCGGACACCACGCCGCGGUUCGAGUGCUAGUCAGCAAGGCCUUCUGUACAUGCUUCUAUUAGCCAACGGCCCGAGAAGACCCACAGGACCUUGUCCAACAAUGCGUCGAUUGCCAGCUCUUCACCAAUUAGAGUCAUAUGCCCCUACCGCUCUCCAAACAAUCCCCAUAACUUGGCCCUUCGCGGUCUGGGGGUUGGAUAUGGUCGGGCCCCUUAAAGGGGGAAGCCAUAAGAAAAAAAUACUUAUUGGUCAUGGUGGACAAGUUCACCAAAUGGAUAGAAGCCAAGCCAGUUAAAACGGCCGAAUCCGAACCUGUUAUAGACUUCAUAUACAGGGUCGUACACCGGUACAGUGUCCCCCACAGCAUCAUCACUGAUAACGGCUCAAAUUUCACAGCCGAUGAAGUGAAAACUUGGUGCGCCAAAAUGGGCAUCAAGCUCGACUACGCUUCCGUCUACCACCCACAAACAAAUGGCCAGGUCGAACGGGCAAACGGUCUCAUUAUGAGCAGCAUCAAACCCAGACUAGUGCGAUCUUUAACAGAAUUGGAUGCGCACUGGGUAGAGGAGCUCGACUCCGUACUCUGGGGGCUGCGGACCACACCGAAUCGCACCACCGGAUAUACACCAUUUUUUAUGGUGUAUGGUGUGGAAGCAGUACUACCCUGCGACAUAAUACAUGAUUCGCCACACGUACACAUGUACGAAGAAAAGGAAGCCGAGUUAGAUCGGCAAGAUAACUUGGAUGCCCUGGAGGAGGAGCGCGAUGUCGCAAAAGCCCGUUCCGCAUUCUAUCAGCAGUAGGCUCGACGAUAUCAAAGCAGAGAAGUGCCGGCCAAAACUUACAAUAUUGGGGAGCUCGUUCUACGCCUUCCGGAGAAGAAGAAGGACAAACUCAAACCCAAGUGGGAAGGUCCCUUCGUCAUUGACAAAGUUCUCACCGGAGGAGCGUACCGUUUACGUAAUGCAUCCGAUAACAGACUCGAGCCGAACCCAUGGAACGCGGCCAGACUCCGGAGAUUCUACGCCUAACGCCGAACUCAGUGUUCGUCUCCUUACCCCUCCUUUUUAAUUAUGCUCCACCCCUUUUCUCUCCUUUCUCGACCAUUUUUGUCUUCACACAAAGUAUUUAAUACAGUGCGGAUUCCCGGAACACUCCGGUCGUACUAUGUGUAUAAGCUAUACCUAGGGGCUCCCUAUUCGGAAGCUAGACAUAAUUACUUUAAAUGGCUUUUUGCCCAUCGCAUAUGCGUUCUUUAUCCAUAUGUGCCUUUUCUUCACCAUUAUAUGCAUCGAUAUGACUUAAGAUGUGGCCAAGCUGGGUUGCCUGGCUCUUGUGUUUAUGCCCUACAUUCUCGUUAAUUCGGCUAGGGCAUAAGGGGAGCACCUCUGCGAUUGUUACUGCCGGUUAAGCCGGAUGUGUACCUCAGACUCGGUGAAGCCGAAAGCUAGUUUCCUUAAGAGAAUAUUCGAUCGGUGAACAAAGGAUGUAUUCGUUGGUCACAACAAAACCCCCCAGAAGUUUUGUAUCUUGCGCCAUCGUUCGUAGUCCGGACAUGUGCAUUGGCGCAUGCGUACCCAGGGAAAGGAACCCCUAACGGAACUAUUCUCCCUGGAAGAUGUUUCUUACUAUCCAUGUAAUAUAACAUAACUAGUUGGGUACUUGUCUGUUCAAGCACUUAUGACCCAUACGCCUGGUCUACACGCAUACCUCGGUUUUGUAUAACUGAGAGGGUAUUCGGACACACCCCGGACUGUAGGAUCCGGGGGCUGAAGCGAAAAGGUCCGCCAUGACAAAUGAUUUUAAUCCGGCUAGGGGCUACUUAUGCCCAUUAAAUUACACAGUCACUUGGACUGACUAUAUUCCUCCUCUAUACCAUCUAACAAGAUAUCUAGCUUACAAUCCCGCUGAGAAUACUUAGCGGCUAACGCUACCUGGUCAUAUACCAGACUUAUGGGAAUUUCUUGCCAAUCGGGCCCCGCCGGUCCUACUUUGGCCAUAUGGUUCGGGUCCAGCUUGGUGUAGCGCGUCUUCACCAUUGCCCAGGCUUCUCUUGCUCCUUGCCAGCAUGCUGAUAUCUUCCACAGACGGAAGCACCGCCGGGCUCCUUGAAGCAGGUCCGCAAGCUCCCCCAUGCCAUUCGGCAGGAGGCUUGAUGGCCACAAGGCCCGAGCAACUCCGUGCAUCACGUGCCGAACACGCUCAUGCAACUGCGACAGUCCUUGCAGCAAAUCACCGGCAGAUGAGGGCAUCUCCUCUUCAGGGCGACCCGUUAACAUUCCUGCAAGCAAAAAAAUUUCAAAAAAAACUUCCUCGCCGAACUAUCACACAGUUCGUUUGAGCUCCUGCCAUAAAUGCCGCGUCGAAGCCUUUUGUUCUCCUUCACGGAGUCCGCCAGUUGAGCGCGGACGUCCUUUAAUUCCACGUCUAGACGAAUAUUGGCAUCUUGUAGCUUGUUCUUCUCUUGCGUCACCUGCGUAAUGAUGUGCUCGCCAGCCUUUAGCUGCCGUUGGAGAUGCGAGUCAUCAUCCAUUACUCCCUCCGGAUUCACCCCGGGAUUGUCUGCAAAAUUUUCUGUUAGACUACUGCACCAGCCAUUUACUAACUGGUACAUCUGCGUGUAAUGGAGACAAAUAUUACCAGAGGGGGCCUUCCAGGAUCCCUCUAACUUGGCUACCGCAUUAAUCAGCUGGGCCUUGCAGGCCUCCAGCUCCCGAGCCAAUUGUUCGUUCUUGUCCACAAGGACCUGUGAAUAUAUUGAUCCUUCAAACAGUUGUCCCAACUAUUUCAAGUCUCAGGGGCUACUGCUAUACAUACUUGUCAAAAAUUUCUUACCCGUAUAUCUUUGGUGUAAUGGUUCGUCGCUUGGGCAAGCCCGCCUCGAGCAGCUCAGACGUAUGCAUGUGCCGAAUUGAAGGCAUUAAAAGACUCUUCAGAAAAGAUGUUGUUCCGAAGCACGGCCCUCCGGCGCCGGUGAUUCAUGGCGCUCUCCACCUCAGAGUUCAUGGCCGAACACAUAUCCGCGUCCUCUGUCGGAGAACUGCGCGGUUCUGGCCCCGUGUCCGCCUCCGCCCUCGAAGCCGGUUCUGGAACCUGGCUGGUGGAGGCAUGAUUGGUGGGAUUCCCGGAUAUAGUCCGGCUGUUCCUCUUCCUGCUAGACACAAAGGGUGCUGUCAUAUUUCAAAUACUAUAAACCACAGGACAGGUUAUUACUUUACCUCUGCAGCGGUGUGUCAACCCUCACCGCCUUCCUCUUGAGCCUGCCUGAUCCAGACUCCCGUGGUUGACCAGUCCCUAGGGGCUCGGCCCCGCGCUUCGAUCGUCGUCUCUGCAAACAGCACGAUACCUCAAGGGUAAAUCAUAAUCCUGAGGGGAAUCCUCUUCGGAGGAUAGGGUUUUUGGUUUGGCUUACACGCGACGCUGGGAGCAGUCCAGGGUAGUCGACUGUAAUGGCCACUAAGGCGCCAUCCCAGCUCGCUUGAUGAAAUACCCCGUUGACAAGCUCCAUAGUGAUAUCCGGAUCUUCUUUGAGUCCGGGAUCUAGGGCCCUUCCGGGGUCAUCUGGUUGCGGGGAGGGGCUGAAGAUUCCUUCUACGGCCCUCCUCAGUUCCUGCUCAGAAACAUUGAUGCAAGUAAUCUUAGCAGAAGAACGCUAGAGUAAGUGAAGCAGGGAAAAGAAUGGCAACUUACCCACUCUGGGGGGUUGUGCAUGGAGAAUCCGUCCCGUGUUUUUAUGUGAAGGAAUUCCUCCUCUUCCCCUUUGUACAAAUCGGACAAUAUCCUUGCCAAAGCGGCAGCGGAGUCCGGACCCCUACGGCCGCAGCGGGUGGUGUCGUAUUCUCCGUUGAAAUUCCACAUGGGCUUCCCUCGAUAUUGGAGCGGUUGCACUCCCCGCCUUAUGCAUAUCACCAUGACCUCGACUAUCGUCAGUCCGGAUUUGGCCAGUAGCUUUAUCUUGUUCAUUAGGAAGUAUAUUUCCCUUGUGUCCUCUUCUUGAGGACCCCGGGGGCGCCAGCUUAGGCGUGCCCUCAGAGGCGCGUUGCUGAACUUGGGGAGACCUGUCUGGACUGGAUCCGGGAGGGGAACGUCGUCUAUAUAGAACCACUCCGAGGGCCAGUUUUCUGGUGCCUUCUCAGGAGUGCCGAACAGGUAUCCGGUCUCGGCAAUGCGCCAUACUUCGGCCCCGCCCACUUGACAUAGGGACUCUCCCUAGGUGCGAGGGACGAGGCAGAACAGCUUCCUCCAUAAUCCGAAGUGUGGUUCGCAGCCUAAAAAUAGCUUGCAAAGGGCGACAUACCCCGCUAUGUACAGAAUGGAGGCAGGGGUAAGGUUGUGUAACUGGAGGCCGUAGAACUCCAGGAGCCCGUGGAGAAACAGGUGGUUAGGAAACUCGACUUCCCUCAGCAGAUGCGGGAUGAGGCAUAUACGCUCCUCUGGAGAUGGGUUAGGACAUCCCUCAGCUUGUUCCCCUCCGUCAUAAGUGGCUAUUUCAGCUCGGACGGGGACCAUGAACGUCGGUGGGAGAAACCCUUGGGUUUGUAACUCUAUCAAACGGCUAUGAGGAACUAAACACUCUCCCCAAUCCCCCGACUUGGAACGAGAAGGGCGAGUAAAAGAGCUGCGACGGCCGGCCAUGCUAGAAUGGUUUUUCGCGGAGCGCUCUGUUGGAUGCUAGCUCUGGGAGGGAGAGUGAGGUUUGGGUCUGAGAAUCCCCGUCCCUUCAAAUAGGCGGUCAGCCCGGAGGGUCGAGGGUGGCAAAUGCAAAAGUGCCUCGACUCCUCGCAUUCGCUCGACACGUGGAGAUGGUCAUUACUGAGGCACUGAAGCUGAGGAGCACAACAUUGAUUGGAGGCCGGACACUAUUCAUCGUAACAGGUACUUUGGAGUAUUCGGAGGAGGAACCCGCCUUGCAAUGCCGAAGACAAUACUGCACACCGGACUCAUCAUCAUUGAAGCCUGGUUCAGGGGCUACUGAGGACUCCUGGAUUAGGGGGUAUCCGGACAGCCGGACUGUGUACAACGUCCAGACUAUUGAAGCGUGAAGAUACAAGACUCAAGACUUCGGCCCGUGUCCGGAUGGGACUCUCCUUGGCGUGGAAGGCAAGCUUGGCGAUCCAGAUAUUAUAUUUCCUUCCUUGUAACCGACUCCAUGUAAACCCUAGCCCUCUCUGGUGUCUAUAUAAACCGGAGAGGUUGGUCCUUAGAAGGCCGAUCACAAUUACAAUCAUACCAUCAUAGGCUAGCUCUUAGGGUUUAGCCUCUACGAUCUCGUGGUAGAUCUACUCUUGUACUACCCAUAUCAUCAAUACUAAUCAAGCAGGAAGUAGGGUUUUACCUCCAUCAAGAGGGCCUGAACCUGGGUAAACAUCUGUGUCCUUUGCUUCCUGUUACCAUCAGCCUUGACGCACAGAUCGGGACCCCCUACCCGAGAUCCGCCGGUUUUGACACGGACAGCAAGAAAGACCAAUCUAGUAGGCCAAACCCAAACUGAUAAUUCGAAGAGACUUGCAAAGAUAACUCAAUCAUACAUAAAAGAAUUUAGAGAAGAUUCAAAUAUUAAUCAUAGAUAAACUUGAUCAUAAACCCACAAUUCAUCAGAUCUUGACAAACACACCACAAAAAGAGUUUACAUCGAAUAGAUCUUCACAAGAGAUGGGGAGAACAUUGUAUUGAGAUCCAAAAAGAGAGAAGAAGCCAUCUAGCUAAUAACUAUGGACCCGUAGGUCUGUGGUAAACUACUCACAACUCAUCGGAGGGGCAAGGAUGUUGAUGUAGAAGCCCUCCAUAGUCAAUUCCCCCUCCGGCAGAGUGCCGGCGAAGGCUCCAAGAUGAGAUCUCGCAGAUACAGAAGGUUACAGCGGUGGAAAUUGUGUUUCGUGGUGCUCCUGGAUGUUUUUGGGGUACGUAGGUAUAUAUAGGAGGAAGAAGUACGUCGGUGGCCGCCCGAGGGGCCCACAAGACAGGGGGCGCGCCCUACAGGGGGGGCGGCCCCCUAUCUCGUGGGGCCCUCGGAAGCUUCUUGACUUGCACUCCAAGGUCUCCGGAUCACGUUCGUUCCAAAAAUCAUGCUCCCGAAGGUUUCAUUCCGUUUGGACUCCGUUUGAUAUUCCUUUUCUUCGAAAUAUUGAAAUAGGCAAAAAAACGGCAAUAUGGGGCCUCCGGUUAGUAGGUUAGUCCCAAAAAUGAUAUAAAUGUGUAAAAUAAAGCCCAUAAACAUCCAAAAGGGGUAAUAUAAUAGCAUGGAACAAUAAAAAAUUAUAGAUACAUUGGAGACGUAUCAGCCCGCCUCAAGAUCCCCAGGGUGACUGAGGAGGCCAUCAUCUCAGCCUUCUUCGAUGGCGUGCGUGACAUCGAGAUGAAAUAGGAGCUAGCAAUCCAUGAAGACCUGUGCACAUCCCUGGAGCUGUUCAACUUGGCAACCAAGUGCGCCAGGGCUGAGGAAGGGCGCCUCUCCCUCCUCGAGCUUCCGGCUGCCGAUCCAGAAGAGAAGAAGCCCAAGGUCAAGGACGUGAAGCGCAAGGGAGCGGCUGUGCUCGCAGCCGAGCCAGACACCAAGCGAUGUAGGGAUCAGCCUGAGUCAUCCAAGGGCAGCCGGUACUGCAUGUACCACGACCUCCACACCCACAACACCAACGAAUGCCAAGAGCUCAGGGCUGUGCGAGAUGGGUGUAUCGGCCGACGCCCCGAGAGCAACGACCGAGGCUAUGGCCGAGGAGGAGGAAGAGGUGGAGGAUGAUGGGAGGACCGUGGCCCUCGCUAAGGGUGGCGUGACCGACCUCGCGAGGACCGUUGGCAGGACCAGCCUCGCGAGGGAGGUUGGAGGGAUCAGCCCCAUGAGGAUCGCUCGCACUGCAACGUAGGCCUCCCUCCUCUGCCACCACUGCCAAGGAGGAAUGAAGACCAUCACCAGGACAAGGGGGCUGGGGGCUUCCAGGAGUCGCGCACAAUCGCUUGCAUCCUGGGCGGCGCUCAGGCCCCAGCCUCUCAGCGCAUCUUCAAGCAGUUUGCUCGCGAGGUGAAUGCAGUCCUCCCCAAGCUUGAGGACAUGUGCCCUCUCAGGUAGUCUGCGUGCGCUAUCACGUUCAGCUCAGCGGAUCAGCUCAAGUGCGCAGCAACGGCCGGAGUCCUCCCGAUGCUUUGCUCCCCAGUCAUCAGCAAUGUGCAAGUCACCAGGACCCUCAUCGAUGGCAGAGCGGAACUCAACGUCCUGUUCGUCGAGACAUUCAACAAUCUUCAAGUGCCAUAUGAUCAGCUUCAGCCGACCAAGCCUUUCUCAGGAGUCACUGAUGGUUCCACUGUUCCAAUAGGGCAAGUUCACCUUCCUAUCACCUUUGGGCAGCACAACAACUACCGCACCGAGCUCAUUGACUUUGACGUCGCCCACAUUUGCCUGCCAUACAAUGCCAUCCUCGGGUACCCAGCCCUGGACAAGUUCAUGGCAGUGACUCACCACGGCUACAAUGUCCUCAAGAUGCCAGGAAGCGGUGGAGUCAUCACAGUACCCUGUGAGGAAAGGGAUGCAGUGUGUUCUCUUGAGCGUGCCUUCCAAGCCGUGGCAAUCAAAGACCCAGAUCACAGGAGCGGGAGACUUCCCGAGGUGGUCCCUAAGAAGAAGAAGGCUUCACCUGGCCCAAACCCUCACAAGGCAGGCACCUCCGGAGGCGUUGCGUCAGGAUUCGCGCUGUUCAGGGGGCGCCACCCUCUGCCGCAUAGGAAGGCGCGCCCGGCGCCCCCCUCGGGCAGGGCUCGGGGGCUCUUUCUUGGAGAGCCACCAACUUUGCCAAGGUCACGAGGGAGGCGCUCGGACACCACUUGGAGGCAUGCUUCAAAGCACGUUUCCCUCAGGAAGGUAUGAGGCAAGGAGGGCCAAACCCUCAGGAGCGCAUCGCGAGAAACACUCAGGAGCUACAAGAGUCAAGAGUCAUGCGCGGCAGCCGCCGUUUGCCCGCCGUAGCCCCACAUCCAGGCGAGGAUGGAGGGCUGCGCGUCUGCAUCGACGUACCAGGGCUCAACCGAGCCGCGUCUCAAGAGCGCCUCUGGCCUUCACGCGUGGGGCGCUACGAGGGCCCACCUCACAGCUACGUUCGCAUGCCUUUCGGCCUGCCGAACGCGGUCGCCGCUCGUCAGCGCCUGCUGAGGAGCAUUCUGGAGGCUCGGGAGGUCAGGCAUCGCGCGGUCCUGGCGGAGAUGGAGAUGGCCCUCGAAGAUCCACUCGUGCCCUCGGAGCCUCCCGAGGCUCCAGGUCCCGAGAGCUCGUGAGGGUCGGCUUCCUCACCACGCGUCGUCCGCUACUUCAGCAUCACUUCAUCUCCAACGGUAUCAGGUGACAUCUUUCAAAGUUCCAUUUUCAGCUGGGAGCGCCCACAGGGCUGCAUCAUUCCUAGGUCGCGUGGGUCCAUCCCUGCGACAUGUAUCCGUUUUGCUUAUGCUCUUUACCUACCUUGUUGGGGGCGCCCCUCGGGCUGCAUUAUCCCCAAGCUGCUCGGGCCUGGCCCAGUGGCGUUUGCUUUUUCUGCAUCUAUCUAAAUGUAUUUGCUCCUUCAUGCUUAACAUGCUUGACCUAAUCGCCUGCUCGAUUGACACCUACCUUUGGAUCCGCUCACUCUGGCACGGCGCUUGCGCAUGGGUCUGUCCCUGCAACACCGACAAAUCUGAGUGGUCGAGCUCUGGCCGCGGCAGCCCUGCAAGGCGCCACCUCACCAGGCCCUCAGUGCCCCAAUCACUGAUGGGGAACGUAGCAGAAAUUCAAAAUUUUCCUACGUGUCACCAAGAUCUAUCUAUGGAGAAACCAGCAACGAGGGGAAGGAGAGUGCAUCUACAUACCCUUGUAGAUCGCUAAGCGGAAGCGUUCAAGUGAACGGGGUUGAUGGAGUCGUACUCGUCGUGAUUCAGAUCACCGAUGAUCCUAGUGCCGAACGGACGACACCUCCGCGUUCAACACACGUACAGCCCGGUGACGUCUCCCAUGCCUUGAUCCAGCAAGGAGAGAGGGAGAGGUUGAGGAAGACUCCAUCCAUCAACAGCACAACGGCGUGGUGGUGAUGGAGGAGCGUGGCAAUCCUGCAGAGCUUCGCCAAGCACCUACGGGAGAGGAGGAGGUGUCACGGGAGGGAGGGAGGCGCCAAGGACUCAGGUAUGGAUGUCCUCCCUCCCCUCCACUAUAUAUAGGGGCAAGGGAGAGGGGGGAGGCGCAGCCUUGCCCCUUCCUCCAAGAAAGGGGUGCGGCCAAGAGGGGGGAAGGAGUCCAUCCUCCCCAAGGCACCUCGGAGGUGCCUUCCCCUUUGAGGACUCUUCCCUCCCCAAGUUUCCUUGGCGCAUGGGCCUCUUGGGGCUGGUGCCCUUGGCCCAUGUAGGCCAAGGCGCACCCCCUACAGCCCAUGUGGCCCCCCAGGGCAGGUGGCCCCACCCGGUGGGCCCCCGGGACCCUUCCGGUGGUUCCGGUACAAUACCGAUGACCCCGAAACUUGUCCCGAUGGCCGAAACAGGACUUCCUAUAUAUAAAUCUUUACCUUCGGACCAUUCCGGAACUCCUCGUGACGUCCGAGAUCUCAUCUGGGACUCCGAACAACAUUCGGUAACCACAUACAAACUUCCUUUAUAACCCUAGCGUCAUCGAACCUUAAGUGUGUAGACCCUACGGGUUCGGGAGACAUGUAGACAUGACCGAGACGUUCUCCGGUCAAUAACCAACAGCGGGAUAUGGAUACCCAUGUUGGCUCCCACAUGUUCCACGAUGAUCUCAUCGGAUGAACCACGAUGUCAAGGACUCAAUCGAUCCCGUAUACAAUUCCCUUUGUCUAGCGGUAUUUUACUUGCCCGAGAUUCGAUCGUCGGUAUACCGAUACCUUGUUCAAUCUCGUUACCGGCAAGUCUCUUUACUCGUUCCGUAACACAUCAUCCCGUGAUCAACCCCUUGGUCACAUUGUGCACAUUAUGAUGAUGUCCUACCGAGUGGGCCCAGAGAUACCUCUCCGUUUACACGGAGUGACAAAUCCCAGUCUCAAUUCGUGCCAACCCAACAGACACUCUCGGAGAUACCUGUAAUGCACCUUUAUAGCCACCCAGUUACGUUCUGACGUUUGGUACACCCAAAGCAUUCCUACGGUAUCCGGGAGUUGCACAAUCUCAUGGUCUAAGGAAAAGAUACUUGACAUUAGAAAAACUUUAGCAUACGAACUACACGAUCUUUGUGCUAGGCUUAGGAUUGGGUCUUGUCCAUCACAUCAUUCUCCUAAUGAAGUGAUCCCGUUAUCAAUGACAUCCAAUGUCCAUGGUCAGGAAACCGUAACCAUCUAUUGAUCAACGAGCUAGUCAACUAGAGGCUUACCAGGGACAGAUUGUGGUCUAUGUAUUCACACGUGUAUUACGAUUUUCGGAUAAUACAGUUAUAGCAUGAAUAAAAGACAAUUAUCAUGAACAAGGAAAUAUAAUAAUAAUAAUACUUUUAUUAUUGCCUCUAGGGCAUAUUUCCAACAAUCACUCCCUCGGAGCGACCGAUGGUUGGCUGGAAACCGUAACGACAGACCUUGUUUCCCCUCGUGAUUGGUAUGCAGGACCAGUUCCGGAAGCAACACUGGGGACGUCGCGAGCUAUCUCUCCACCUCUGCGGCACAAUCCGCUUGCAUGUUAAAAGGGGGUCGCCUGAGCAUCGUGACUCAUGGGCUCUUACUGGCUCUCCAGCCCUCACCCCCUGGCCUUGACCCACGGCAUCGCGACCUGUCAUACCAGCGUCGGCUGAGCUUGCUCGAGGGACGGGACCUGAGGACGUAGAGCAUUAAGGAAAGUGCGGGGGAGAGGGAAGAAGCUCAUGAGGACCUAACUCAGCAGCACCUCACCUGCCGCCAUGCAGGCCUGGCACCUCGACGAAAACCACUCCAAACCUACCAGAUAAGUCACACAAAAACUGAACUGAUUCAACGCUAAACCCUCGCCUAUUGCAGCUUUGUCACGGCAACGUUGCCUACCUUUCUUGCCCAGCGGAGGCUGCUUGAGCGCUAAAGGGGACCUCCUGAGCAUCGCGACUCAGGGGCUCUUACUGGACCUUGGGCCGCUCACCUCCUGGCCUUGACCACGGCAUCACGACCUGGCAUACCAGCGACGGCUGAAGCCUGCCUGGGGACCGGGGCCUGUUAGCGUAGAGCACCAAGCCCUCGUGAGGAAAGAAAGGGGGAGCCGAGCCGGGACAGGACAAGCAUCUCGCAUCGAUUCAUAAUAAGGAUAUAACAUUCACAAAAGACAUGGCCAGCGCCUUACAUACCCCCGCAGGGUGGUACUUCGAUACCUCGCAGGGAACAAAAGGUGCUAAUCCUAAGGAACGCUAACUACACGCGCCUCCGCAAACGCCAUCAUCAACAAUGGGCCGUCAGGCGCCGGCGCCAACCCCAUCCAGACCAGUGGCGUCGGCGGCCUGAUGUAGCUGCCCUGCUCCGGGUGUGACGCAAGAUAGUGGAAUCACUAAAUAAAGUUGACACUCUUCCAAAUCCACUUUCGUAUUCAUCACAAUAAAAUUUAACAUCCUCCAAAAUAGUGGGAUCACUACUUCCUAAAGUUGACUCUCUUCCGAACCCACUUUCAUCAAUAUAAUCAUCAUAGGUAGGAGGCAUGCUAUGAUCAUAACAACUUUGCAUAUCAAAACUUGGGAUGCUAAAAAUAUCAUCUUCAUUAAACAUAGCAUCCCCAAGCUUGGGACAAACAUUAAUUCCAGCAAAUAUAUUCUCAAAUAUUCCAUCCCAAUCAAACAUAGCUUCCCCAAGCUUGGGCCCUUUCAUAUCAUAAGCAUAAUCACUCUCAUCAUUAAAAAUAUUGAUAGCACCAAUAGUAUAGCAAUUAUCAUCAUCACAAUGAGUAGUAGGAGAAACAUCAUUUGGGAGGGAUACCUUUCUACCUUUGUUGCUCCUUCUUUUCUUCUUUUUCUUCACAUUAUGUGCGGGUUCAACCUUCCUCUUUGAGCUCCUUAUUGAUGAGAUUGGUUGAAUAGACAGCUCCUCCUCGUUACCUGAUUCAUCAUAAGAAAUAAUAGGAGGAGAUUGGGAAGCCUCUUCCCUUUCAUUAGUAUUCUCAUCAUCUUCCAUUUGCUUUCUUUUCUUUAGGUAAUUUGCAAUAUAAGGAUUUUCGAUGCAAUUCACCGCACAAUACAUAUAAAUUUCUUCUAGAUCAAAAUGAAGAAUUCUAUCAAGGGCAAAUUCUAGAAUAAUCUUAGUUAUACGUUUUAUUUCUUCAUAACCCAAGAGCAAACUAAGCUCAUUAUGAUGUGCAAGGGAAAUCAAGUCAUCACAAUUUUUGGACACGAUACGAUCAUGAAACAAUUUGCAUUGGGUACUAAAAUGACCACGUUCAUUGCAAAGUUCACAAGUAUGGCUAAGAAAAAAUAAAUUUUCAGCACAUGCAUCUAGCCUUUAUUGCAACCAUUUAGUUUCUAAGUACUUAUGCCUCUUGCAAUAUCUAUCUUCCCUAUUUGGUGUGUCCUUGCAAGCCCAAUGCACUCCACAAAAAUUGACAUGCUUAUAGGAGGCAUUUUCAUCAUAACUAGUGCAAUCAUCAUUAGCAUCAUGGAUAUUCAAAGAAUUCAUACUAACAACAUUGCAAUCAUGCUCAUCAUUCAAAUAUUUAGUGCCAAACAAUUUAGAGAUUUCUUCUUCUAGCACUUGAGCACAAUUAUCCUUUCCAUCAUACUCACGAAAGAUAUUAAAAAGGUGAAGCAUAUGAGACAAACUCAAUUCCAUUUUUUUGUAAUUUUCUUUUAUAGACUAACUAGUGCUAAAACAAGAAACAAAAAGAUUCGAUUGCAAGAUCUAAAGAUAUACCUUCAAGCGCUAACCUCCCGGGCAACGGCACCAGAAAAGAGCUUAGUUGACGGGGUGUGAGUGAGUGCCCUUUACCUAGCCUCCCCGACAACGGCACCAGAAAAGAGCUUGAUGUCUACUACACAACCUUCUUCUUGUAGACGUUGUUGGGCCUGCAAGUGCACAGGUUUGUAGGACAGUAGCAAUUUUCCCUCAAGUGGAUGACCUAAGGUUUAUCAAUCCGUAGGAGGCGUAGGAUGAAGAUGGUCUCUCUCAAACAACCCUGCAACCAAAUAACAAAAAGUCUCUUAUGUCCCCAACACACCCAAUACAAUGGUAAAUUGUAUAGGUGCACUAGUUCGGCGAAGAGAUGGUGAUACAAGUGCAAAACAGAUAGUAGAUAUAGGUUUUUGUAAUCUGAAAUAAUAAAAACAGCAAGGUAACUAAAGAUAAAAGUGAGCGUAAAUGGUAUUGCAAUGAUAGGAAACAAGGCCUUGGGUUCAUACUUUCACUAGUGCAAGUUCUCUCAACAAUAAUAACAUAGAAAGAUCAUAUAACAAGCCCUCAACAUGCAACAAAGAGUCACUCCAAAGCCACUAAUAGCGGAGAACAAACGUAGAGAUUAUGGUAGGGUACGAAACCACCUCAAAGUUAUUCUUUCAGAUCAAUCUAUAAAAGAGUUCGUACUAGAAUAACACCUUAAGAUACAAAUCAACCAAAACCCUAAUGUCACCUAGAUACUCCAUUGUCACCUCAAGUAUCUGUGGGCAUGAUUAUACGAUAUGCAUCACACAAUCUCAGAUUCAUCCAACCAACAUAAAAGUACUUCAAAGAGUGCCCCAAAGUUUCUACCAGAUAGUCAAGAACGUGUGCCAACCCCUAUGCAUAGGUUCCCAAUGUCACAAAACCCACAAGUUGAUCACCAAAACAUACAUCAAGUGGCACAUGAUAUCCCAUUCUCACCAUAGAUAAUCACAGCAAGACAUACAUCAAGUGUUCUCAUAAAAGACUCAAUCCGAUAAGAUAACUUCAAAGGGGAAACUCAAUUCAUCACAAGAGAGUAGAGGGGGAGAAACAUCAUAAGAUCUAACUACAAUAGCAAAGCUCGGGAUACAUCAAGAUCGUGCCAUAGAGGGAACACGAGAGAGAACACGAGAGAGAGAGAGAGAUCAAACACAUAGCUACUGGUACAUACCCUCAGCCCCGAGGGUAAACUACGCCCUCCUCGUCAUGGAUAGCGCCGAGAUGAUAAAGAUGGCCACCGGUGAUGGGAUCCCCCUCCGGCAGGGUGCCGGAACGCGCUCCCCAGAGGUUUUUGGUGGCUACAGAGGCUUGCGGCGGCGGAACUCCCGAUCUAUCUUCUGUUCUGGAAGUUUUAGGGUACAAGAGUAUAUAUGGGUGCAGGGGGUACGUUGGUGGACCUUCGGGGUCGGUGGACCUCCGGGGUGCUCACGAGGCAGGGGGGCGCGCCCCCCACCCUCGUGGGCAGCCCGGGACUCCCCUGACAUGCACUCCAAGUCUAUUAGGUUGCUUUCCUUCCAAAAAUAACUUCCCCAGUUGAUUUCGUUCCGUUUUGACUCCGUCUGAUAUUCCUUUUCCUCGAAACACUGAAAUAGGCAUAAAACAGCAAAUCUGGGCUAGGCCUCCGGUUAAUAGGUUAGUCCCAAAAAUAAUAUAAAAGUGGAUAAUAAAGCCCAAUAUUGCCCAAAACAGUAGAUAAAGUAGCAUGGAGCAAUAAAAAAUUAUAGAUACGUUGGAGACGUAUCAAGGGGGGGGGGUGAUUAGACUACUUGACCAAAUAAAAACUUAUCCUUUUCCCAAUUUUAGUCUUUGGCAGAUUUUAGCUAUCUUAGCACAAGUCAAGCAAUCUUAACACAAUUCAAGAAAGCAUGCAAAGAGUAUAUGAGCAGCGGAAAGUAAAGCAUGCAACUUGCAAGAAUGUAAAGGGAAGGGUUUGGAGGAUUCAAACACAAUUUGGAGACACGGUGAUUUUUGAGCCGUGGUUCCGAUAGGUGGUGCUAUCGUACAUCCACAUUGAUGGAGACUUCAACCCACGAAGGGUAAUGGUUGCCCGAGUCCACGGAGGGCUCCACCCACGAAGGGUCCACGAAGAAGCAACCUUGUCUAUCCCACCAUGGCCGUCGCCCACGAAGGACUUGCCUCACUAGCGGUAGAUCUUCACAAAGUAGGCGAUCUGCUUGCCCUUACAAACUCCUUGGUUCAACUCCACAAUCUUGUCGGAGGCUCCCAAGUGACACCUAGCCAAUCUAGGAGACACCACUGUCCAAGAAGUAACAAAUGGUGUGUUGAUGAUGAACUCCUUGCUCUUGUGCUUCAAAUGAUAGUCUCCCCAACACUCAUCUCUCUCUCACAGGAUUUGGAUUUGGUGGAAACAAGAUUUGAGCGGAAAGCAACUUUGGGAAGGCUAGAGAUUAAGAUUCAUAUGGUAGGAAUGGAAUAUAUUGGCCUCAACACAUGAGUAGGUGGUUCCUUCUCAGAAGCAGCAAGUUGGAAGUGUAGGUUUGUUCUCAUGGCUCUCUCCAUGAAUGAAGAGGAGGUGGAGGGGUAUAUAUAGCCUCCACACAAAAUCUAACCAUUACACACAACUUGCCAAACUCGAUGGGACCGAAUUGGUAAACUUGGUCAGACCAAUUCAGCAAAUCUAGUGACCGUUAGGAUUUUCGGUGGGACCGACAUGCAACUCGGUAGGACCGAUAUGGUUAGGGUUAGGGCAUAACGUAAUCUUGGUGAGACCGAUUACACAAACUCAGUGAGACCGAUUUUGGUAAUAAGCUAACCAGAGAGUUGGUCAGGUAAACUCGGUGGGACCGAUUCGCUCAUUUCGGUGGGACCGAAAUGUUACAAAAAGGAAAGAGGGAGUUUACAUUGCAAUCUCGGUGGGACCGAUCGCUCAUCUCGGUGGUACCGAAACGUUACAAAGGGAAACAGAGAGAUUACAAUCCCAUCUCGGUGAGACCGAGAUCCCUAUCGGUGAGACCGAUUUGCCUAGGGUUUGUGGCAGUGGCUAUGACAUCUGAACUUGGUGGCACCGGAUAGAAAGAAUCGGUGGGGCCGAGUUUGACUUUUGGUUUAGGUCAUAUGUGGAUAUGAGAAAGUAGUUGAGGGUUUUGGAGCAUAUCACUAAGCACUGUAGAGCAAGAAACUCAUUAAGCAACACCUCAUCCCUCCUUGAUAGUAUUGGCUUUUCCUAUAGACUCAAUGUGAUCUUGGAUCACUAAAAUAUAAAAUGUAGAGUCUUGAGCUUUUGAGCUUGAGCAAAUCCUUUUAUCCUUAGCAUUUUGAGGGAUCCACUUUUUCUCAUCCAUGCCAUGCCAUCCAUUGAGUUUUUCCUAAAAUAUUCAUCUUGGAAUGAUGUUAGCUCAAUGAGCUACAUAUUGUUAGGAAUUACCAAAACCACCUAGGGAUAGUUGCACUUUCAGGCUCCCCCUUUUUGGUAAUUGAUGACAACAUAUAGAUCAAAGCUUCGACAAAUGAUAAUAAGAGUAAAAAACAUUGUUGCUUUGAGAAGUAUGUGAUAAGCAAGAGCUCCCCCUAAAUUUGUGCAUAGUUUAAGAUUUGCUUUGGACUGCAAAUGCACAAGAGUUAGGCUCAUGGGUAACUCUUCCAUGUCACAUACAUCUUGGUGGAGCGCUCAAAAUGAUAAUGAUUGAAUACAUGCACUCAUCACCAAGCAAAGUGAAUGAUCAUAUAGAGAUAAACGAGAUAAUGUCAUCCAACAAGCAUAAAUGUAGCAUAUGAUCAAACACAUGAUCAUCCAAGUAUCACACAGACAUAAAGUAUCUCAAACAAGCAAAUAAAGUUCAACCACCAAAGCAAGAGAGAAUAAAAAGCAAUACUCUCUCUCGAAGCCUAUGAUCUAUACAGUUUUCUCCCCCUUUGGCAACAAGUUACCAAAAAGUUCAUAGAAAAUGCAUAGCACUAGAUUGACUCUCAGGCUUGAUCUUCAGGUGGUGGUGUAGAGAUGGCUCCUUGGACGAAGACUUCAGUUGAUGUGGAUGGAGCUGGAGGUGUAGGUGCUGGAGUUGGUGCUGUAGGAGCUGUAGCUGGUGCAGAUGAAGUGGCUCUGGUGUCUGUCACUGGCACUGCAGCUAAUCUCUGAGCUCUAGGCACUCUGGCAAAUGCAUCAGUGGUAGUAUUGCCCUGCCUCUCCUGCAUAUCAUCCUGAAGCUGCUCAACAAUAGACUGGAUCUCAGUUACCUUCACAUCCAAGUUAUAGAACUUCUGCUCCAUGAUCCUCUCCAGGCUCCCCUGGUUUUGAGUCCAGGUAGCCAGCCCCUUCUCAAUCCUCAGAGUGGAUGCAAUCAAGUAGCCUAGCUGAUCUUGUUUGCACUUCAGAAAUUACUGAGAUGCCUCUUCCAUUGUUGGCAUCUUGGUAGCCUUCUCUGUCCUUGCCUUCUCCUUCUUUGUUUGAGCAUGCACAGAAGAUGGUUCAUCUUCAUCCAUAACCACUUGGUUAUCCUAAAAGUCUGGAUAGAUAGCAAAGUGUUCCUUAUCCAGCAAGUAUGUGCCUGUGCCCAUCUUGGAGUUAAUCAGCUCCUGGAUCUGUGGGGCAUACCCACAACUUCUUUUCUGGUCAGCUGUUGUCCUCUUGAUGGUCUCAACAAUGAGGCUCAUGACCUUGAAUUUAUGUGGCACAUCAAAUAGGUGUAGCAAGUUUAUUGUAUGGCCUAUGAUCAUGUUGUGGUCACCUGACUUGGGCAAUAGAGUAUGCCUGAGGAUCCAGUUGAUGGUUGGCAGUCCUGACAGAAGAUAAUGUACAGAUCCAAACUUAUGUGUCUCAACUACAGCAUCUAGGAUCUCCUUGUACAUAUGUGCCAUAGUGUUGUGAUCCAUCUUCUUCUUGGCAUAGACAUCCAAGUCAUCUUAUUUCUCCUUAGGUGCAUUGAUCAGAUUUGCCCAUUCCUCAAUAGUUGAUUGGUACCUUGUACCUUCACACAUCCAUACUAUCCUGCCAUCUGGAUAAAAGUGUGCUGUGGAGUAGAAUUACAUUAUGAGCUCAUCAUUCCACUUUGUGAGCUUCUGCCCAACAAAGUCUGCAACUCCACAAACACUAAAGCUGUCAUACACACUAGGAUAGUGUUCCUCAUUCUCCUUCAUGUAGGUCCAGUCCACCCACCUCAUGUCACAAACUAUAGGCUUCUUGUCCAGCAACACUGUCUCAUAGAAAUCCUGCUGUUCCUUAGUAUGGAACCUGUAGUCAACAGCAGUCCUUCUCCUGAUAGCAUAAGGAUCAAACAACAUCCACUGUCUGAGUCCUGCAUCCUUCCUUAGCUUCAUGUUCUCAGUCACAGGAUGAGCAUCAUUGUGGUCUGGAAUCUUUGGCUUCAACUUUCUCAGGAUAUGCUCUUCAUCUUCUUCUUCUUCAGCAGCAGUUUCAGGCACUUGGGCCUUGUUCUUCUCAGCAGCAGAUAUGUUUCUGGUAUUCCUCUUUGGUGUAAUCUUGGGCUUGGAGGCAGCUUUGGGUGCUUCUUUGGGAUUUAAUGAUGCAACCCUUGACUUAAUAGCAUCACCCAUAAGCUUCUGAGCCUUGGGUGCUGGUGCAGCAACCUCUUCUUCCUCUUCCUCUUCCAUCAUGGAAGGCUUUCAAACAACUCUGGCCAUGGUCUUUGAGGGGGUCCUGGACUAGGGGGUGUCCGGACAGCCGGACUAUCAUCAUCCGCUGGACUCCAAGACUACGAAGAUACAAGAUUGAAGACUCCGUCCCGUGUCCGGAUGGGACUUUCCUUGGCGUGGAAGGCAAGCUUGGCGAUACGGAUAUGUAGAUCUCCUACCAUUGUAACCGACUCUGUGUAACCCUAGCCUUCUCCGGUGUCUAUAUAAACCGGAGGGCUUUAGUCGUAGGACACAACAUACAUUACAACAAUCAUACCAUAGGCUAGCUUUAGGGUUUAGCCUCCUUGAUCUCGUGGUAGAUCCACUCUUGUACUACCCAUAUCAUCAAUAUUAAUCAAGCAGGACGUAGGGUUUUACCUCCAUCAAGAGGGCCCGAACCUGGGUAAAACAUCGUGUCCCUUGUCUCCUGUUACCAUCCGCCUAGACGCACAGUUCGGGACCCCCUACCCGAGAUCCGCCGGUUUUGACACCGACAUUGGUGCUUUCAUUGAGAGUUCCUCUGUGUCAUCAUCGAUAGGCUCGAUGGCUUCUUCAAUCAAUAACGCUGUCCAGGGUGAGACUUUUCUCCCCGGAUAGAUCUUCGUAUUCGGCGGCUUCGCCCUGCGGGCUAACUCACUUGGCCAUCUGGAGCAGAUCGAAAGCUAUGCCCCUGGCCAUCAGGUCAGGUUCGGAAGCCUAAACUUCACGGCCGACAUCCGCAGGGACUUGAUCUUCGACGGGCUCGAGCCACAGCCAAGCGUGCCGCACUGUUACGAUGGGCAUGAUCUAGCUCUGCCGCCGAACAAUGCCUUGGUGGCCGUACAAGAAUCCGCUCCGGCCCUUAGACCGGAGCCGAUCGCCCGGAUCGAGGACCGGUGGUUGGACACCGCCUCGGGGGCUUCAACUUCCAUGGCGAUGGAGUCGAACACUAACCUUGUCCCUCGCGAAGCUCGUGACUCCGAGGCGCCGGACUCCUUGCCGGACUCCGGACCUCCCACGCCCCUGUCAAUCAAAUCCGAUUGGGUGCCGGUUAUGGAAUUCACCGCCGCGGACAUCUUCCAACACUCGCCCUUUGGCGACAUCCUAAAUUCGCUAAAGCAUCUCUCGCUAUCCGGAGAGUCCUGGCCGGAUUAUGGCCAGGAUGGUUGGGAUACGGACGACGAAGAAAUUCAGAGCCCACCCACCACCCACUUUGUAGCCACUGUCGACGAUCUAACCGACAUGCUAGACUACGACUCCGAAGACAUCGACGCUAUGGACGACGAUGCCGGAGACGAACAGGAACCAGCGCCUACAGGGCACUGGAAGACCACCUCGUCAUACGACAUAUACAUGGUGGACACCCCAAAAGAUGGGGAUGGCGAAGAAGUAGCGGAGGCAGAUUCCUUAAAGAAACAGUCCAAGCGCCAGCGUCAGUGGCGCCGCUCUAAAUCCCGCCAAAGCAAGAAUGGAGAUUCCGGCACAGGAGAUAAUAAUACCCCAGAGAGUGUCGAAGACAAUCCCCUCCAGCAAGACUCAGCACAGGAGGAUGCAGAAGCAAGCCCUCACGAGAGGGCGGCAGACGAAGAGGUCGAGGAAUAUAACUAUAUACCUCCCUUCGAAGACGAGGCAAGCCUCAACGACGACGAAUUCGUCGUGCCCGAGGAUCCCGUCGAACAAGAGCAUUUCAAACGCAGGCUUAUUGCCACGGCAAAUAGCCUAAAGAAAAAGCAGCAGCAGCUUCAAGCUGAUCAGGACCUGCUGGCCGAUCGAUGGACCGAGGUCCUCGCGGCCGAAGAGUAUAAACUCGAACGCCCCUCCAAAAGCUACCCAAGACGCAAGUUGCUCCCCCGAUUAGAGGAGGAAGCAUUCAUACCUUCAUCACCAGCGCACGAUACGGCAGACCGACCACCCCGUGGUCGCGACAGAGAGGCAUCCAGGCCCUCCACCAAGACGUACCCCGGCAUCGCUCCAAAAGCGCGAAGCCAAGAGGGAACGCGCCGGACUUGCGAAAUAUAUUGGAGGACAAAGCAAGGCAAUCCAGAUCCAUCUACGGAUCACGGGGGCGCCCCACGACCCACGACGAAUAACGUCGCGCCAGAUACAAUAACUCCGGCCGGGCCGAACACAACAGACAACGCUCUCUCGAGCUACGUCGUGAUAUUGCCCAAUAUAGAGGCGCCGCACACCCGCUAUGCUUCACUGACGAAGUAAUGGAUCAUCAAAUCCCUAAAGGGUUUAAACCCGUAAACAUCGAAUCCUACGAUGGCACAACAGACCCCGCGGUUUGGAUCGAAGAUUAUCUCCUUCACAUCCAUAUGGCCCGCGGCGACGAUCUCCAUGCCAUCAAGUAUCUCCCACUCAAGCUUAAAGGACCAGCUCGGCAUUGGCUUAACAGCUUGCCCGCAGAGUCAAUUGGGUGUUGGGAAGACCUGGAAGCCGCAUUCCUCGACAACUUCCAGGGCACAUAUGUGCGGACACCAGACACUGAUGACCUAAGCCACAUAAUUCAGCAGCCAGACGAAUCGGCCAGACAAUUCUGGACACGGUUCUUGACAAAGAAAAACCAAAUCGUUGACUGUCCGGAUGCAGAGGCCCUCGCAGCCUUCAAACAUAACAUCCGCGACGAGUGGCUAGCCCGGCACCUGGCACAGGAAAAGCCAAAAUCCAUGGCAGCCCUCACAUCAUUAAUGACCCGCUUCUGCGCGGGAGAGGAUAGCUGGCUAGCUCGCAGCAACAACCUCAGUAAAAAUUCUGGCAGUCCGGAUACUAAGGACCACAAUGGCAGGUCGCGUCGAAGCAAAAAUAAACGCCGCAUUAACGGCGAUGAUAAGGAGGAUACGGCAGUCAACGCCGGAUUCCGAGGCUCUAAACCCGGUCAGCGGAAGAAGCCAUUUAAAAGAACCACUCCGGGUCCGUCCAAUUUGGACCGAAUACUCGACCGCUUAUGCCAGAUACAUGGCACCCCUGAAAAGCCAGCUAAUCACACCAACAGAGAUUGCUGGGUGUUCAAGCAGGCAGGCAAGUUAAUUGCCGAAAACAAUGACAAGGGGCUAAACAGCGACGACGAGGAAGAGACCCAACCGCCGAACAAUAGAGGACAGAAGGGUUUCCCCCCACAAGUCCGGAUGGUGAACAUGAUUUACGAAACCCAUAUACCCAAGAGGGAGCGGAAGCGUGCACUAAGGGACGUAUAUGCAAUGGAGCCAGUCGCCCCGAAGUUCAAUCCAUGGUCCUCUUGUCCGAUCACUUUCGAUCGAAGAGACCAUCCGACCAGCAUCCGCCAUGGCGGAUUCGCCGCAUUGGUUUUAGACCCAAUCGUCGAUGAAUUUCACCUCACGAGAGUCCUGAUGGACGGCGGCAGUAGCCUGAACCUGCUUUAUCAGGAUACAGUGCGAAAGAUGGGCAUAGACCUCUCAAGGAUUAAACCUACAAAGACAACCUUUAAAGGCGUCAUACCAGGUGCGGAGGCCAAUUGUACAGGCCCAGUCACACUGGAAGUGGUCUUCGGAUCCCCAGAUAAUUUCCGGAGCGAGGAGUUAAUCUUCGACAUAAUACCAUUUCGCAGCGGCUAUCACGCUCUGCUCGGAUGAACCGCGUUUGCAAAGUUCAACGCGGUCCCGCAUUAUGCAUACCUCAAGCUCAAGAUGCCAGGCCCUCGUGGAGUCAUCACGGUCAACGGAAAUACGGAACGCUCCCUCCGAACGGAGGAACAUACAACGGCUCUCGCGGCAGAAGUACAUAGCAGCCUUUUAAGGCAAUUUCCGAGUCCGGCCGCUAAACGGCCGGAUACAGCCAAACGCGCCCGAAGCAACACCAACCAAGACCACCUGGCACGAUCCAAGCACGCGUAGCAAUGCGGCCCUAACCCCCGCCCUCGCAUGAUUGCAAGAACAACCCUCCGCGUACAUCAUUACGCUUUGGAGAUACCAUGGGCGUAGGGGAAGGGGCACGAUCACAAUAGACCCAGAGUGCGGCUCGACCACACCAGGGGCUCGCAAGUGCGCCACUCUUUCUUAUUAUUAUUUUCCUUCUUUGUAUACAUAGGACUCCGUUAGCCAGAGGCCCUGUCCGGCGGUGAACCUGCCGAACUCAUGAUGCAACAGCCAGGGAAGCAGGAAUGCAGCGACGAACACUCAGGCGGUCUCAAUUACGAGCAUUAAAUUUGAUUAUAUACACCAAGUCCGCAGCCCAUCCCUGGAGGGGGACAUGUUUAACUAGUCCAAAACCCUUGCUUACCGCACUAUUUGUAUCAGUCCGCACUCAUAGCAGACUUCCUUUAAUAAAUGACGUGGCACUGUCUUGCCUGUUAUUACAUAUAUAUGUUCAUUACAUGACAUCUUGCACCCGUAUAUUUUGGUACGGCCUAAUACACCAGGGGCUUAUGUUCCCCACAUUAUGGUGUGAUAAGUCCGAACACUUUCACAAGUGGGGCACCCCGAACUUAUAGCAUUAUAUGAAUCGGCUCCGAAUCAUGUCUUGGGUCAAUAGUUGGGUUUGCCCGGCUCCCACGUUUUGGUGCCUUACGUUCCGUUCCGUCGGCUAAGGUGGCACUGGGAGAACCACUGCGAUUGCGCCCCGGUUGAGCCGGGCGAGCGCCUCAGUGGAGAAAGCUAAAACUGACCGGCAUGAUAAGGUGAGAGACUGGUCGCUGUUCGAGAGGUCUUUUCGGGUCCUUAAAGACUCACGCCGCUUCGAGCGAAGUUCCGGAUUAUGUCCGACGAAGGCGUGGAUAGCGCCCCGCAUUCGGUCUUCCGAAUACUAGGGGCGUCGCCAAAAUUUAAAAUUAUAGAAUUCUAUGGCUAAGUGAGAGUGUUCAAGCAUUAUAAGUCCGGUUCCCUUGUUCGUUGUGUUGAGCGCCUCCCUAGAUGGACCCAAAAAUGGGAACAAGAGUGCUCAAGUUAUCCCGAACACCCCAGCACUUGCGGCUUGGGGGCUGAAGCCAACGACUUGCCAUCUCUCAGAUUUCAUAAAUGGCCGCACAGAAGGUAAUAUUUUAAAUUAAACAAGCGUUGCUUAAGGCGCACAUGAACAAAGUUUUCAGCGCACAGGAUAAUACAUAGCGAGUUUACUCAAAAAUUACAUCUCUAGGGCAUUCAUCCGCAAUAUCGCGGGCCCCCUUCAGGACAGUUUUAUAAUACAUUUCGGGCGUACGAUACUCCUUGCCCGGGGGCGGCGGGUCAGUAAGAAGCUUCUCUACAUCCAGCCUGCCCUAGUGCACCUUUGUGCGGGCAAGGGCCCGACGAGCACGUUCAAUACAGGCGGAGCGCUUGAUGACCUCCACCCAGGGGCACACAUCCACCAGCCGCCGCACGAGGCCGAAGUAGCUCCCAGGCAUGGCCUGUCCAGGCCACAGCCGGACUAUAAGGCCCUUCAUGGCCUCCUCAGCUACCUUGUGGAGUUCGACCAGCUGCUUCAGCUGGUCGCUUGGGGGCACCGGAUGGCCGGCCUCAGCGUACUGAGACCAGAAGACCUUCUCCGUUGAGCUCCCCUCCUCGCCACAGUAGAAUGCGGCGGCAUCGGACACACUAUGCGGCAGAUCUGCAAAUGCCCCUGGAGAGCUCCGAAUGCGGGUAAGUGUCAGGUAGUUUACAUUAACAUGCUUGCUUUGCAUGAAAAAUGCCUUACCCGCCGCUAUCUUCUUCACAUCUUCAACCUCCUGAAGGGCCUUACGGGCCUCGGCCUUGGCGGACUUGGCACUUUCGAGAGCCGAGGCGAGCUCGGACUCUCGAGUCUUGGAGUCGCGCUCCAAGCUCUCAUGCUUCUCCAUGAGAGCCUGGAGCUCUUGCCGCACUGCCGCCACCUGUGCCUCCUGCUUUUCUCGCUCUGCCCGUUCCGCGGCCGCACUGCGUUCGGCCGCGGACACAGCCUCCUUCAGGGCUGCCACCUCAUUUAUGGCCCCUGCAAUACCCAUAUUAUCCUUGUAAAUUUUAUUGCGACCAAAAUCCUUUUCUGUAAGGUAAAAAUUCAAAGCGGUGCUACUCACCUUCUUUGUCCUCGAGCUGCCUCUUGGCAUGGCCGAGCUCUCGCUCGGACCGCUCGAGAUCUUGCUUUAAUGUACCAACCUCCGCAGUCAAUGCGGCAGAGGUCAGCAGCACAGCCUGCAAACCCAUAUUGACAUAAUUUAUUAGCAACCUGCGAAUAUCUUUUUAGAUCCUCAGUCCGGCUUUUCUUUCCGAACACCAAACCGAGCAUCAGGGGCUACUGUCUAUGCGGUAUUACACUACAUAAUUUUAACUUCUUACCUCAAAGCCUGUUAGAAGGCUACUGCAGGCUUCGGUCAGCCCGCUCUUGGCGAGCUGAACCUUCUGAAUCACCGCACUCAUAACAGUGCGGUGUUCUUCCUCGAUGGAAGCGCCUUUGAGCGCCUCCAGCAAGUUGUCCGGCGCCUCCGAUUGGACGGAGGCCGCCGGUGUCACGGUCUUGCCCUUCUUUCGAAGGGGCCGCCUGCCGGACUCUGGAACCACUACAGGUUCCAACGUAGAGUCCGGCGCAAAGUCCGGGAGGCUGCCUUGCGAUGCCUCCGGAGCCUCCUCCUGAUGGGUCCCUUUCUGGGAUCCCACCUCGGCGUCCUCAUCGGCGUGGGGGGUAGAGGCAGUCGGAAGUAAAUCCACAUCCGACGGGGCCAACGACCCGCUCGAUGAAGCGGGGAAAUCAUCAUCGGCCGAACUGCGGGCAGUAUGCGGCAUUAGUAGGACACUAUGUGACACGAAAGAAAUUGCACAUCAGGGAUCCGGAUACUUACGAUCUCGCCGGAGGCCUGGCCCUUGAAGGCCACUCCUCGUCGCUAACGCCGGUGUUGGCGGAGCUGUCCGGGGGAAUGGUUCUCCCCCUCUUGGACCCUUCGGCCUCCCCUGUUGGGGAAGCCUUCCUCUUCCUCUCUCCCCCUUCCGGGAGAGAGUCUUCUUCCUCCUCCUCGUCUUCGGGGGAGGAGUCCGCCUCAUCGUCGGACGCUUGAUUAUGGGAACUCUUUCGGGUCCCCGUGGCCACCUUCUUGGCCUUCUUCUCUAGCACCACGUGCGGUGCCAGAACCAGCAGCCCCGCUAGACGGGCGUCCACUGGGUCUUCUGGCAUGGGAGCCGGGCAGAUGAGCUGCUCGGCCUUCUUCAUCCAUUCCUAUCAAAGGAAAAGGGAGAUUGAAACCCUCUUAGAAUCAAUCUAUUUACCACAAGUGUCCCGUAAAGGGGUAGAAUCACUUACCUCGUCAGCCGGAUGCUGCGAGUAAAAUCCGCGAUCUUCUGUCACGGAUGCGGGGGCUUCGGCGCCCUUAAACAGCACCCUCCAGGCGCCUCCGUAUGUUGUGUUGAAGAGCCCGCUCAGCGCCUGGUGCCGUUCCGGAUCGAACUCCCACAGAUUGAAUGCCCGUUCUUGUCAUGGGAGGAUCCGACGGACGAGCAUGACUUGGACCACGUCGACGAGCCUGAGCUUCUUGUUCACCAGCUUCUGGAUACAGGCUUGGAGUCCCGUCAGCUCCUUCGGAUCACCCCACAACAAGCCCUUCUCUUUCCAGGAGGUGAGCUGCGUGGGAUACCAGAUCUAAACUCGGGGGCCGCCGCCCAUGCAGGGUCGCGCGGCUCGGUGAUAUAGAACCACCCCGAUUGCCACCCCUUCACGGAGUCCACGAAGGCCCCUUCGAACCAGAGGACGUUGGGCAUCUUGCCCAACAUGGCGCCUCCGCACUCCGCCUGCGUGCCCUUCACUACCUUCGGCUUGACGUUGAAGGUCUUGAGCCACAAGCCGAAGUGGGGCCGGAUGCAGAGGAGGGCCUGGCACACGACGAUAAACGCCAAGAUGUUGAGGAUGAAGUUCGGCGCCAGAUCAUGGAAAUCCAGGCGGUAGUAGAACAUGAGCCCCCGGACAAAGGGGUGAAGUGGAAAGCCCAGUCCGCGGAGGAAGUGGGGAAGGAAAACGACCCUCUCAUGGGGCCCGGGGGUAGGGAUGAGCUGCCCCUCGUCGGGCAGCCGGUGCGCGAUAUCGCCGGAAAGGUAUCCGGUGCUGCGCAGCUUGGUGAUGUGCUCCUCCUUAACGGUGGAAGCCAACCAUUUGCCUUCCCCUCCGGACAUGGUCGGGGAAGGUUUAGAUGAGAUGCGCGAGCUUGGGCGUUGGAGCUUGAGUGCGCGGAGGUGGAUAAGCAAAGGAGGAAGAAGGCGUGGGUGAAAAGGUGAAUCCUUAUCCCUUAUAUAUAGGCGGGCGAAGACUAUGCGUCCCCCACCAGCCUGGUAAAACUCGCUUAUCUCCCAAGCGCCACCAUCAAUGGCGCGGUUGGGUUACCCACAUCCGUAUUGAUGAGAAUCCCGGAAUAAGGGGAACACGAUCUCUGCUUCGACAAGACGUGCCAAGGAAACCGCUUCGCUAAACAUGAUGAGGUGGUAUAACAAAAAAUGAUUCAAGUAAAGGCUUGGUAGUGGCGUGAUGACAUGCCGCAAAAUACGUCAGCAGAUUGGACUUGUGGACAUUUUAUUCUCUCUACGGUGGAAUGUGGAAUUUAUUUUGCAGAGCCGGACACUAUCCUGGUGUUCAUGAUCUUCUCUGGAUUAUGUGAAGGAGGAACCCGCCUUGCAAUGCCGAACAUUAUGCGCGCCGGACUUAUCGUCAUUGAAGCCUGUUCAGGGGCUACUGAGGGAGUCCUGGACUAGGGGGUGUCCGGACAGCCGGACUAUCAUCGUCCGCCGGACUCCAAGACUACAAAGAUACAAGAUUGAAGACUCCGUCCCAUGUCCGGAUGGGACUUUCCUUGGCGUGGAAGGCAAGUUUGGCAAUACGGAUAUGUAGAUCUCCUACCAUUGUAACCGACUCUGUGUAACCCUAGCCUUCUCCGAUGUCUAUAUAAACCGGAGGGCUUUAGUCCGUAGGACACAACAUACAUUAGAACAAUCAUACCAUAGGCUAGCUUUAGGGUUUAGCCUCCUUGAUCUCGUGGUAGAUCCACUCUUGUACUACCCAUAUCAUCAAUAUUAAUCAAGCAGGACGUAGGGUUUUACCUCCAUCAAGAGGGCCCGAACCUGGGUAAAACAUCGUGUCCCUUGUCUCCUGUUACCAUCCGCCUAGACGCACAGUUCAGGACCCCCUACCCGAGAUCCGCCGGUUUUGACACCGACAGUCUUCUUGACCCUUUCCUUCCUUUUCUUCCCUUCUGCAGCAGCCUCUUUGGGUUGAGAUUCCAAAGGUACUUGAGUAGAGGCUCUGGCUUUAGACAUGGGAGUUCUCUUAGCAGGUACUUUGGUCUUCAUACCAGGCUUAAUGGCAGCAACUGUGCCAUACUCCUUUUUAGCACUUUCUUCUUGGAAUUGGCCUCAUCCUCUACUGCCACAUAGUCUUCAUCCUCAGAUUCUGAGGUUUUCUUCUUUCUGGCCCUGGUGGCAGCUUUGGGCAAGUUGCUUGGGGUGUUCCUACUUCCAUCAUCUGAGGUACUAGAGGGACUAGUGCCCUCACUCAUCUGAAUCUGCUCCUCUUCCUUGUUUUGGCUGUCACUUUGAUCAGACAUGUUGCAAACACUGACUGCUGACCCUGUGAAUAGAUGUAGAUGAGAUAAAGUGGAUGAGCAUCACAAAAUACAGAGGUUUUUGCAAAAGAAUGAUUCAACAACUUAGUUUUAGUUUUCCACAGAAAGCAUUUCGGAUCAACCGAUUUGCAAACUCGGUGAUACCGAAGCAGCUUUUGGAACCUAAACUAGUGAACUCGGUCAGACCGAGUCACAGUUCGGUGGCACCAAGACUGCUAGGGUUUCACAAAGUCCUGAACUCGGUCACACCGAUUUGCAAUUCUUGGUCAGACCGAGAAUCACUUGUGCAAUGGCCUUAGCCGAAUCGGUGGAACCGAGUUCUGCAACUCGGUGGGUCUGAGAUGGUUUCGGCGGAAACCUAACGCUAAAUUUUCAAUUCACUUCUAAACUAUGGAUUGUUUUGACUGGAUAGAAUAGUUUCAAUCGUGGCAAGAAUCAUAUGAACACAAUGUGAUAGGACUUGGACGGGGAUAGCACUGUGAUCGAGUCCAUACCCUAGCUUGGCGAUGAACUCGCUACGGCGGCAAUGGCGGGGGUGAAUUCCGUUGACGGCGGUGGAGACCAGCGACUAGAGGCGGCUGGCGACAAGGAGGACGAUCCGGACCCUGGAGGCAGAGCGAGCUAUGCGCGGGCGAAGGGGUUUGGAGAAAGUUUCCAAAUUUUUGCCCGUGAUUAUAUAUAGCCCGACCCUAUCGGUGUGACCGAGUGGAACAACUCGGUGGCACCAAGAUGCAUAACUGUAUACAGUUAUAGCAACUCGGUGUGACCGAAAAGUUCAAAUCGGUUGCACCAAGAUUGAAAACCUAGAUUGACUUAGUGAUCUCGUUAUGACCAAAAUGGAGGAAUCGGUCAGACCGAAAUGCACAAAGAAGUUUUGGAAGUUUAAGUCUAUGACGAAUCGGGGACUCCGAGUGCUCCUCACACAGAGUGGUUCGAAUCUGACUUGAUCAAAUUUUGUGAUGUAGCAUGAAUAGAGUUUGAGACAAGAAAAUCAUAUAUAGCUAGAGAAGGUUCUUAGGCAUUCUUGUCCAUCCACUUGGCAAAAGAAAAAGAAACCAAUCAAUCAAAGCAACAAGUGGAUGUCCUCGAAUGAGUAAAAUAUGCAACCAACAUGCUCACACAUUAAGAUGGCAAAUGAAAUAUGUGGCAAAGCAUGCACAACCAAUUCUAGCAUCUAUCAAACAAUUGGCGAUGACUAGGUCAUCUAUAUAUGAGUAUAUUGACUUAGGAGUCAAAUGAGAACAUUUGAUCAUAGGUCAUACUCAUCGUUUAAGCUCAAGUGGGGUUACCACUUUUACAUAAUGCUUUGAUGUGGUCACACCAUUAGAGUUGCUUUGACUCAAUUCUUAGAGUUAAGCUCCCCCUAGAUGUGAGAUCCCCCCUUAGAGGGAUGAACUAACCUCGGGUUUUGUCGAUGAUGACUUCAUGUAGGUGUUGAAGAUGUGGAUGCUCAAUGUUGAUGAAGAUCAUUUGGAGCAAUCCUUUGGAGUGAGUUGCACUUUCGAUACCUACACGGGUUAGUCCCACAAGGAACAAACAAGGAUAUCCAUAGACAUAAAGUGAUGCACACACAAGAUGAUGUCUAUGAAAGCAUUAGAUUACCUUGUCCCUUGUCUUACCAACAAGAGGGUUUGUGAUCCUUGAACUAGUGCAAGAUGUGGAAGUUGAUUGCACUUGUUGUUGCCAAAAUGAUAUGAGUGAAAUAUGUUGGCGGAGUCACCCUCAAGAACUCUCUAGUUCUUCUUCUUCGAGAUCCACAUCAUCUUGAUGGGAAUCCUUGGAGUUGUAGUCGUACUUGAUGAAGUAGAACUUGUCAUAGUCUUGGGAACCCACUUGACCAAGGCUUUAGGAGCUUCUUCAAAUGCAUCAAUCUCCUCUUGAAGCUUGUCCUUGCCUUUUUGCUUGUGGUCUUGUGGUGGAAGAUCAUCUUGAGCUUGUGUCCCCUUGAAGGAAGUAGGAUCGUACUUCUCUUGCUGAGGAACAAACUUCGUCUUGGGAUAUUGAUCUUCUUCCCACUCAACUCCAUUGGCAUUGAACUUUCGUUCAAAACCAACACCAUGGUUCUUCCGGUGUCUUCCUUGCUUGCGUACAAUUUCCUCAAAUUGCUUACUCCCGGCAAGGCUCUUGUAAACACCUUUCUCUAUAGUUCCCUUCAAUAAGCUAUUUUCUUGCUCAAGUGUAACUUGGCUAAGAGAAUCAUUAGUGGAAUCAAGAGAACUACUAUAAGCAACAACAUUUGAUUUAGCAUGAUUAUUGUUACUACUAGAGGAAGAAUCCUUCUUGUUUUUGUUAAUGGACUUGAGUUGAGGCAUGUAAGUAGAUAAGAGUAAACGCUUGGCAAUGUAAGAAGAACUUUUCUUACGAAGAUCAUCAUUGAUUGCCUUUAAGAACUCAUGCUCUUGCUCAAGAUUGAGCUUUUCAAAGCGUAACUUCUCAUGAGUCCUUAAAAGUUAUCGAUGAUCUUCUAAGAUAGUUUCAUGAGCUAACUUAAGAGUGUUUAGUUCUUUAGUUAGAAGUUCAAUCUUAUCCUUAUCAUUGUCAUUCGUUUUAUCUUGAUUAGCAUGAUUAAUUGACGUUUCAUCAUAGUAUUCAUCACUAGAGUUGUCAACAAGUAAAUCAUCAUCACCUAGCAAGUCAUCUUCAUCACUAUUGAAAUCAACAUACUCGGGUUGUGUUACCUUUGGGCCUUUAGCCAUGAAGCAUCUUCCAAUUCCUUCAUUAGGUGAAUCAAAUAUGUCAUAGGAGUUGGUUGACACAAGUGCUAGACCGGCAACACCUUCAUCUUGAGUAUAUUCGGAGUCGGAGUGAUAGCUUCUCUCGGAGUGAUUGUCGGAGUCGGAGCCGGACACCCAUUCACCAACAUGAGCUUGAUGUCUUUGUUUUGUGUAGCUCCUUGAUAACUUGUCCCUCCUUUCCGAAUCCUUGCUCCUCCUGGAUGUUCUUCGUUCAUAACGAUCAUCUCUACUCCUCCUCUCUCUUGGUGGUGAUUCCUCUCUUCUACUUCUCCUCUUGGGUGAUUCUUCUCUUCUUUUUUGGGGUGCCGUACACUCAUUGGAAUAGUGUCUGGGUCUCCCACAAUUGUAGCAAUUGCGCUCUCGAUUGGAAGAUCUUUUGUCAUUGUAGGACCUUGACUUGGAGCUUCUCUCUUUGCUUCUACUCUUUUAGAAUUUGGUGAAGUUCUUCACCAUUAAGCUCAAUUCUUCAUUGAAGGUUUGUUUCUCACUUGAGGACGUGGGGGCUUCACAUGAGGCUUUGUAAGCACCAGUUGACUUGUUGUGAAGUUCCUCCUUAUCCUUGAGCGACAUCUCAUGAGCAACAAUUCUUCCAAUGACUUCCGUUGGCUUAAGAUCUUUGUAAUUGGGCAUCAUUUGGAUCAAUGUGCACACGGUAUCAUAUUUUCCGUCCAAAGCUCUUAGGAUCUUCUUGAUGAUGAAUCUGUCGGUCAUCUCUUCACUUCCUAAGCCCGCAAUCUCAUUUUUGAUAAGAGCAAGCCUAGAGUACAUUUCAGCGACACCUUCACCAUCCUUCAUUUUGAACUUGUCAAGUUGACUUUGGAGCACAUCCAGCUUGGAUUCCUUGACGGAGUCGGUACCUUCAUGCAUAUCAAUCAAAGUGUCCCAAAUUUCCUUUGCAUUCUCAAGACGGCUGAUUUUGUUGAAUUCUUCGGGGCACAAUCCGUUGAAGAGGAUAUCACAAGCUUGAGCGUUGUAUUGCAGCAUCUUCAACUCUUCCGCACUAGCUUCACGGUUCGGUUCUCUCCCAUCAAAGAAUUCACCUUGCAAGCCAAUACACACAAUAGCCCAAACGGCGGGGUUAUGUCCAAGAAUAUGCAUUUUCAUCUUAUGCUUCCAACUAGCAAAAUUAGUACCAUCAAAGUAAGGACCUCUACGGUGAUAAUUUCCCUCGCUAGACGCCAUACUCUCCUAGGUUGUGAAACCAAGGCUAUGACCACCAAAGGCUAUGGAAAUCAAAGCAAAUGGAGACCAAAGCUCUGAUACCACUUGUAGGAUCGAAAGUAUGUCUAGAGGGGGGGUGAUUAGACUACUUGACCAAAUAAAAACUUAUCCUUUUCCCAAUUUUAGUCUCUGGUAGAUUUUAGCUAUAUUAGCACAAGUCAAGCAAUCUUAACACAAUUAAAGCAAGCAUGCAAAGAGUAUAUGAGCAGCGGAAAAUAAAGCAUGCAACUUGCAAGAAUGUAAAGGGAAGGGUUUGGAGGAUUCAAACACAAUUUGGAGACACGGUGAUUUUUGAGCCGUGGUUCCGAUAGGUGGUGCUAUCAUACAUCCACGUUGACGGAGACUUCAACCCACGAAGGGUAACGGUUGCGCGAGUCCACGGAGGGCUCCACCCACGAAGGGUCCAAGAAGAAGCAACCUUGUCUAUCCCAGAAUGGUCGUCGCCCACGAAGGACUUGCCUCACUAGCGGUAGAUCUUCACGAAGUAGGCGAUCUCCUUGACCUUACAAACUCCUUGGUUCAACUCCACAAUCUUGUCGGAGUCUCCCAAGUGACACCUAGCCAAUCUAGGAGACACCACUGUCCAAGAAGUAACAAAUGGUGUGUUGAUGAUGAAUCCCUUGCUCUUGUGCUUCAAAUGAUAGUCUCCCCAACACUCAACUCUCUCUCACAUGAUUUGGAUUUGGUGGAAAGAAGAUUUGAGUGGAAAGCAACUUGGGGAAGGCUAGAGAUCAAGAUUCAUAUGGUAGGAAUGGAAUAUCUUGGCCUCAACACAUGAGUAGGUGGUUCCUUCUCAGAAACAGCAAGUUGGAAGUGUAGGUUUGUUCUUAUGGCUCUCUCCACGAAUGAAGAGGAGGUGGAGGGGUAUAUAUAGCCUCCACACAAAAUCUAACCGUUACACACAACUUGCCAAACUCGGUGGGACUGAAUUGGUAAACUCGGUCAGACCGAUUCAGCAAAUCUAGUGACCGUUAGGAUUUUCGGUGGGACCGACAUGCAACUCGGUAGGACCGAUAUGGUGAGGGUUAGUGCAUAGCGUAAUAUCGGUGAGACCGAUUACAUAAAAUCGGUGAGACUGAUUUUGGUAAUAAGCUAACUAGAGAGUUGGUCAGGUAAACUCGGUGGGACCGAUUCGCUCAUUUUGGUGGGACCGAAAUGUUACGAAAAGGAAACAGGGAGUUUACAUUGCAAUCUCGAUGGGACCGCGCUCAUCUCGGUGGUACAAAAACAUUACGAAGGGAAACGGAGAGAUUACAAUCCCAUCUAGGUGAGACCGAGAUCCUUAUCGAUAAGUGCUACCUCUUGAGCACUGCAUUGGAUUUCCCCGAAGAGGAGAGGAUGAUGCAGCAAAGUAGCAUAAGUAUUUCCCUCAGUUUUUGAGAACCAAGGUAUCAAUCCAGUAGGAGGCCACACACAAGUCCCUCGUACCUACACAAAACGAUAGCUCCUCGCAACCAACGCGAUUAGGGGUUGUCAAUCCCUUCACGGUCACUUACGAGAGUGAGAUCCGAUAGAGAUGAUAAAUAAUAUUUUUGGUAUUUUUGAUAUAUAGAUGCAAAGUGAAAAGUAAAAGGCAAAGUAAAAACAAAGCAAGUAUUAAAGUAAUGGAGAUUGAUAUGAUGAGAAUAGACCCGGGGGCCAUAGGUUUCACUAGUGGCUUCUCUCAAGAGCAUAGAUAUUCUACGGUGGGUGAACAAAUUACUGUUGAGCAAUUGACAGAAUUGAGCAUAGUUAUGAGUAUAUCUAGGUAUGAUCAUGUAUAUAGGCAUCACGUCCAAGACAAGUAGACCGAAACAAUUCUGCAUCUAUUACUAUUACUCCACUCAUCGACCGCUAUCCAGCAUGCAUCUAGAGUAUUAAGUUAAAAACAGAGUAACGCCUUAAGCAAGAUGACAUGAUGUAGAGGGAUAAAUUCAUGCAAUAUGAUAAAAACCCCAUCUUGUUAUCCUUGAUGGCAACAAUACAAUACGUGCCUUCCUGCCCCUUCUGUCACUGGGAAAGGACACUGCAAGAUUGAACCCAAAGCUAAGCACUUCUCCCAUUGCAAGAACUACCAAUCUAGUUGGCCAAACCAAAUGGAUAAUACGAAGAGACUUGCAAAGAUAACCAAUCAUACAUAAAAGAAUUCAGAGAAGAUUCAAAUAUUAUUCAUACAUAAGCUGGAUCAUAAACCCACAAGUCAUCGGUCUCAACAAACACACCGCAAAAAGAAGAUUACAUCGAAUAGAUCUCCACGAGAGAGGGGGAGAACAUUGUAUUGAGAUCCAAAAAGAGAGAAGAGGACAUCUAGCUACUAGCUAUGGACCGGAAGGUCUGAAGUAAACUACUCACACUUCAUCGGAGGGUCUAUGGUGUUGAUGUAGAAGCCCUUCGUGGUUGAUGCCCCCUCCGGUGGAGCUCCGGAACAGGCCCCAAGAUGGGAUCUCAUGGAUACAGGAAGUUGCGGCGGUGGAAUUAGGUUUUUGGCUCCCCUUCUGAUCGUUUGGGGGUACGUAGGUAUAUAUAGGAGGAAGGAGUACGUCGGUGGAGCAAGAGGGGGCCCAUGAGGCAGGGGGCGCGCCCUAGGGGGGGGGGCACCCCCCACCCUCGUGACUGCCUCUGUUACUUCUUGGAGUAGGGUCCAAGUCUCCUGGAUCAUGUUCGGUGAGAAAAUCACGUUUCCGAAGGUUUCAUUCCGUUUGGACUCCGUUUGGUAUUCCGUUGCUUCGAAACACUGAAAUAGGCAAAAAACAACAAUUCUGGGCUGGGCCUCCGGUUAAUAGGUUAGUCCCAAAAAUAAUAUAAAAGGGAAAAUAAAGCCCGAUAUAGUCCAAAAUAGUAGAUAAAGUAGCAUGGAGCAAUCAAAAAUUAUAGAUACGUGGGAGACGUAUCAGGCAUCCCCAAGCUUAAUUCCUGCUCGUCCUCGAGUAGGUAAAUGAUAAAAAGAGAAUUUUUGAUGCGGAGUGAUACUUUGGCAUAAUUUCAAUGUAAAUCUUCUUAAUUGUGGUAUGAAUAUUCAGAUCCGAAAGAUUCAAGACAAAAGUUCAUAUUGACAUAAAAAUAAUAAUACUUCAAGCAUACUAAUCAAAGCAAUCAUGUCUUCUCAAAAUAACAUGGCAAAAGAAAGUUCAUCCCUACAAAAUCAUAUAGUUAGGCUAUGCUUCAUUUUCGUCACACAAAGAUGUUCCCAACUUCUAUACCCCCGAUGAAAAGCCAAGCAAUUGUUUCAUACUUAAAUAAUCUCAACCUUUUUCAACCUUCGCGCAAUACAUGAGCGUGAGCCAUGGAUAUAGCACUAUGGGUGGAAUAGAAUAUGAUGAUGGGGAUUGUGUGGAGAAGACAAAAAAGGAGAAAGUCUCACAUUGACGAGGAUAAUCAACGGGCUAUGGAGAUGCCCAUUAAUUGAUGUCAACACGAGGAGUAGGGAUUGACAUGCAACAUAUGCACUAGAGCUAUGAAUGCUCAACAAAAGAAAACUAGUGGGUGUGCAUCCAACUCGCUUACUCAUGAAGACCUAGGGCAUUUGAGGAAGCCCAUCAUAGGAAUAUACAAGCCAAGUUCUAUAAUGAAAAUUUCCCACUAGUAUAAAAAGACAACUUAUGAGACUCACUACAUGAAGAACAAGGUGCUACUUUGAAGCACAAUAUAUGAGACUCACUAUAUGAAGAACAAGGUGCUACUUUGAAGCACAAGUGUGAAAAAAGAGAUAGUAGCAUUGCCCUUUUUUUCUUUUUUUUCUUCUUUUUUUGGGCUUUUAUUUUUUUUCUUUUGGCCUUUCUUCUUAUUUUUUUGGGCAAUGCUCUAAUAAUGAUGAUCAUCACACUUCUAUUGAUUACAACAUAAGGAUUACAACUCGAAACUUAGAACAAGAUAUGACUCUAUAUGAAUGCCUCCGGCGGUGUACCGGGAUGAUGCAAUGAAUCAAGAGUGACAUGUAUGAAAAAUAAUGCAUGGUGGCUUUGCCACAAAUAUGAUGUCAACUACAUGAUCAUGCAAUGGCAAUAUGACAAAAGUAAUGUAUGUCAUGAUGAUGAUGAACGGAACGGUGGAAAGUUGCAUGGCAAUAUAUCUCGGAAUGGCUAUGGAAAUGCCAUAAUAGGUAGGUAUGGUAGCUGUUUUGAGGAAGAUAUAAGGAGGUUUAUGUGUGAUAGAGCGUAUCAUAUCACGGGGUUUGGAUGCACCGGCGAAGUUUGCACCAACUCUCAAGGUGAGAAAGGGCAAUGCACCGUACCGAAGAGGCUAGCAAAGGCGGAAAGGAAAAAGUGCGUAUAAUCCAUGGACUCAACAUUAGUCAAAGAACUCAUAUACUUAUUGCAAAAAUUUAGAAGUCAUAAAAAACCAAGUACUACGCGCAUGCUCCUAGGGGGAUAGAUUGGUAGGAAAAGACCAUCGCUCGUCCCCGACCGCCACUCAUAAGGAUGCACAAGCCAGGUACACUUCAUGUUUCAAAUUUGUUACACAACUUUAACCAUACGUGCAUGCUACGGGACUUGCAAACUUCAACACAAGCAUUUCUCAAAUUCACAACUACUCAACUAGCACGACUUUGGUAUUAUCACCUCCAUAUCUCAAAACAAUUAUCAAGCAUCAAACUUAGUAUUCAACGCACUCAAAAGAAAGUUUCACAUAUCUUGAAUACCAAGUAUAUUAAUAUUAAGCAAACUACCAUGCUAUUAACGACUCUCAAAAUAAUCUAAGUGAAGCAUGAGAGAUCAAUAGUUUCUUUAAAACAAAUCCACCACCGUGCUCUAAAAGAUCUAAGUGAAGCACUAGAGCAAAAAUUAUCACGCUCAAAAGAUAUAAGUGAAGCACUAUGAGCAAAACUAUCAAGCUCAAAAGAUAUAUGUGAAGCACAUAGAGUAUUCUAGCAAAUUCAAAUUUGUGUAUGGCUCUCUCAAAAGGUGUGUACAGCAAGGAUGAUUGUGGUAAACUAACAAGCAAAGACGCAAAUAAUACAAGACGCUCCAAGCAAAACACAUAUCAUGUGGUGAAUAAAAAUAUAGCUCCAAGUAAAUUACCGAUGGAAGUAGAAAAAAGAGGGGAUGCCUUCCGGGGCAUCCCCAAGCUUUGACUUUUUGGUGUACUUGGAUUAUCUUGGGGGUGCCAUGGGCAUCCCCAAGCUUAUGCUCCUGCCACUCCUUGUUCCAUAAUCCAUCAAAAGAAUUCACCCAAAACUUGAAAACUUCACAACACAAAACUCAAUAGAAAUCUCGUGAGCUCCGUUAGAGAAGGGAAACAAAAGACUACUUUAAGGUACUAUAAUGAACUCAUUCUUUAUUUAUAUUUUUGUUAAACCUACUGUAUUCCAACUUCUCUAUGGUUCAUAAACUAUUUUACUAGCCAUAGAUUCAUCAAAAUAAGCAAACAACACACGCAAAACAGAAUCUGUCAAAAACAUAACAGUCUGUAGCAAUCUGUAACUAACGCAAACUUCUGGAACUCUAAAAAUCCUACCAAAAUAGGAAGUCCUGGAUAAUUUGUCUAUAUAACAGAAGCAAAAGAAUCAAUGCAAAAUCACGUUCCUGUGAUUUAACAAAAUUAUAUUCGUGCGCGCAAAGUUUCUCUUUUUCAGCAGAAUCAAAUUAACUAUCAUCGUAGGUUAUCCUAUAGGUUCUACUUGGAACAAACACUAAUUAAAAGAUAAAACCACAUCUAAACAGAGGCUAGAUGGAUUAUUUAUUCCUAAACAGAAGCAAAAACAAAAAAAACAAAA
rnacentral:lncRNA from 1 species